rnacentral:lncRNA from 1 species
UAUUUUUUAUUUUAUGGCAUGUUUGGUCCAUGAUUGAAGUGAGAAUGAGAAAUUUAAUUAUAUUGUUAUUAGAAUGGAAAUCGGAAUGGAUAAUUGAAAGACUUCAACUUUUGAUAGAAUGUUUUAGUUAAGAGGUAGAAAAGUGGUGAAAGGCGAGAGAUGGGGCCAAUUCAGAAUUCAAAGUCGGAUUGUGGUAUAAAUUUAUUGAAUCAUUUCUAUUCUAGAGUGGAAUGGAUAUAGGAAUAAAACAAACAACAACUAUCGAAAUCAGUAAAAUUCUGAUUUUAAAAUUUGAAAUAGGUGUACUAAAUAACCCCUUAAUUCAUUAUGUCAUUACUCUGUUACUAUCUAUACCUAUAUAUUAUUUUUCCUAAAUUUUUGCCACGUGAUGAAUUCUCCUUCACCGCUGGCUUCCCUCUUCCCACUCUCAUUUCCAUCCAAUGCUUCAUUUUUCUAACCCUUACCUUUUAAUUAAUGAAUUUAUAUAGUCCUAUCUUCACCCAAUAUUUUAUCUUCCUAUCCCUCAUCUCUGAAUUAAUGUAUUUAUAUGAUCUUAUCUCCACUCAAUACUUUAUCUUAAUAACUCCCACCUCUCAAUUAAUGUGUUUGUAUGAUUUCAUCUCCAUCUAAUGCUUCAUCUUUUUAGCUUCCACAUCUCAAUUGCUUUCACAAAAAUAAAUAAGUAAAAUAAAAUUUCUUCGUACUUUUUUUUAUAUUGUUUUUUUUUACUUAUUUUCUUGGCGCACAAAAAGGGCUAAUGUUUUGUAAUUUUUUAAAUUUUUUUUUUUAAUUGUGUGUGGAUUGAAAUUAGGAUUCUGAGAAUCGCGACGGGGCGCGGCAGGAGGAAAUGGUGAUGAAUUUGGAGUCAGUAAGGGGAAAAAAAUAAUGGAUGUGGAAGAAUCUAUACAUAAUUAACAUAGUCGUGACGAAGGAAAAAGCUCGAUACUAGCGGUGAAGGCGAUGUAAAGAUCGGAAUUUGCCUCCCCGACGUCAAUAGGGCGAUGAAGGUGUGUUUGGUGUAGAAAUUUUUUUAUUGCUUUUUUUAUUAUUGUUAUGUGUGAUUUAUUUAUCGAAAUUAUAAAUUUUUCUAUAUCUAUACCUAUAUUUGUUUUAUAUCUUAUAUUUGUAUUUAUUGAAGUUUCAUAUCAAAUCAAAAAAUUUAAAAUUUUUAUUUUAUUUAUAUUUUAUCUUUUAUAAUAUCAUUCCGUCGCAAUGCGCAGGUAACUUUACUAAUUAUUACAUAAAAUUCAGAAAAGCUCCUCUCAUAAUACUAUAGAAAAUUUCUCCACUUCGAAUUUUGUUCAGCAACAGGACACAAAUUAACUACAAUAACUUUGCUAAUCGAAAAGAUGUUAAUUUACAACAAUUUGCUCUUAAAUAUUUUUUUUCUAAAAUAUAAGGCUAUUAAGGUACCAAUUGGGAUUGGAAGUAAUAUCCAAUACAAAUGACUCCCACUAAGUAAUUUAGGCCACUAUUUAUACUGGUGCAAACUAUAACCCCAAUUUUUUAUUUUAUUGAAGAGGUAGCAUGUCUAGUUUUUGUAGAGGUAUUUAAAGGUUAAGAUCUCAAAUUUAUUUUAAAAUCACAAUUCAGCUGUCCUUUUCGCAUAUAUGUAAGUGAUGAUCUAUCAAAAAAUAUAUGUAUCACUAAUUAAUUAGAUUUUUUUUUUCCCCUUUUAUUCACUACUAGCUCUGUUUAGUUCGGGUAUAAGCAAGAGCUGUUUAUUCUAGAGAUAGGUAUAAGCUCAGGUAUAAACUUGAAAUAGACUAAUUUUGCAUUUGGAUAUAAAUUAAGUUGUUAUUAAAAAUAAGAAAAAUAAUGUGUGGAUAGAUAAGAUGAAAUAAAAAGAAUAAUGGGUAGUUAUAAAUAGAAAAUAAUAAUAUUACUCCUUAUAUUAUAUUUGAAUUUAAAUUUUAAAAUUUUUAUAUUCGAAAUUUUAAAUUUAAAUACAUAAAUUUUAAAUUUCAAAAAUUCAAAAUUUAAAAUUCAAUUUUUUAAAUCUCAAAUUUGAAAAUUCAAAAUUCAAAGUUCAAAAUUUUAUAUUUUGUAUUUUAUAUUAUUUAAUAUUAAAUCUAAAUUUAAAAAUCUAAAAUAUCAAAUUUUAAAUUUAAAAAAUUUAAAAUAUCAUUUUAAAAAAUCUAAAUUCAAGCGCCUGGCCUCUCGGUUACCGAGAAACCAACGGCAACUUAAAAAAGAAGAACGAGAAUAUUCCGCACUAGUUUCAAAUUCAACACUAUGGGAUACAACCAAAACUCGUUACAAUUUGCGACCACCAAACUUGGAAACAGGAAACCAUGCACCGGGUUCCAUUGAACCGUUGGAGCCUGUGGAAAUUAACCGAUCGAGUCACUUAUGGGGGAAGUGGCGACUCGCUCAAACUGUGGGCCGCGUCACAUUGCCCUUUGUGAUCCGGUCGAGCCACUUUCAAUUUUUCGUCCUUCUCAAAAAUAUUGAGGCCACAAAAAAAUAAAUAAAUAAAUAAAUUAAUUAAUAAACAAAUAAAAGCCACACAAGUGCCCGAUUGGCUACGAGUCCAUUGGAAUUCCCGCAUGCGCCGCUUCACCACCUCCUAAUUGGCUCCUUUUCGAAACCACUUAAUUAGCACACAGUUUUAAAACUAAAAAAAAAAAAAAUCUAAUUUGAUUUAUAGAUUGAUUAGCGAAUCUUAGAUGAUUAUUCCCCAAAAAAAUACUUUAUUUAUAAACAAAUCUUACAAAUUGCAUAAUUCAAUGGAUGAAUUUCAAUCUUAAAAUUAUAAGUCAUGCUUAUAUCUCCGUAAUUUACACUUCUUCACCAAUUAAACACCCUCAUGCAAGCUAAUUUGUAAAGUAUUGUAAAACUAGUGAAGUUACCCGCGCAUGCGGCGGGUUAAUACUAUAAAAGACAGAAGAUUUAUAAAGUAAAAAUUUAAAAUUUUUUUGAUUUGUUAUGAAACAUCAAUAAAUAUAAAUAGUAUGAAAAAAGAGUAUGAGAAAAUCUUAUUUUUCUAAUUAUUUUUUGUGAAAAUAAUUUGUUUAGAUGACAAUAGGCCAUAUGAUCGAAUGUAUUAAUUAGAAAGUAAACGGGAUAGAAGACGAAGCAUCGAGUGGAGAUAUAUGGGACGUGGGAAGGUGAAGGAUCAGGAAAUGAGAAAAAAAGAGAAGGUAAGGGUGAAGAAAAAACUGUCAUGUGGUAAAUGUUAUGAAAAAUAAUGUAUAGCUAUAGAUUAUUUGUAAGUAUAGUUUGCCCUUCUUUCUAGGUUUAAACUGUAAGCGGGAGCCCAGUAGGAUGAGCCGGAGAAAUUAAGCCAUCUCGAUAACCAAUAUACCACAUGAGUUUGUACUGAAUUAAGAAUAAAGCUGUGCUUAUGAAGAUUCUUAUGAACUUUUUGUAUACUUGUUUAGGUAGCUGUACAUCGUUGAUGGAUGUUUACACAUGACCACGAAAUUGAGAGUGUGGAAAUGCAUGACUUUGUAGAAGGUACGUAUGCUUUGCGUAAGCAUAAACAUUACUACUGAAUUGAUUUUAUUAAGCUACAUGAGAUGAUUGAUAAAGAUCCUAAUAAUAAGUAAUUAUUGAGCCAAUUAGGCGCGGAUGAGAUUUAGGUGCGAAUAUUUCCUUCAAAAGUAUCUUUUGGGUCGUGUAUCGAGAGCACCGGAAAAAGGUAUUGCGCCAAUUGAAGAAAGUUACGGCAACCGCAAGCAGUUACAUGCGGUUCCAAUCGGCUAGAAGUGGUCCGAAAUAUGAGGAGAUAGUGGCCGAUCGUAUAAUAACUGACCGAGGGGGGUUAUCUAUAAAUAGGAUAAUAAUACCCCAAAAAGAGGUUUUCGUCCCUGCGCACAAAAAAACACUAUUAUUUUCCUGUAUCUUCCUUCCUCGCAUUUACUGUUUUCCUAGGAGUAGUUGCUGUAACUUAGAUAUUUGGAGUCUGUCUGCUCUCUCGGCAUCACUUCCUUGAAGAAUACACUUAAAGUCUGCCUGCCCCACGGGCAUCACUCUCCUGUUCUUAUACUUUUUCAUUUUCUAUUCAAUAGAAAGUCACGUUCGGCUAUUCAGGCUGAUCAGAUUUCGUAUUGUGCUAGCCAUUCGGCUCAUCUCCCGGCUUAACUUCUGACUUUUCCCGUAUAUUCGGCUCAUCCAGUCGAACCGGAGAGUAAAAAGAGUUUUCGAACCCGGCUGACCCGAUCCCUCGUCAGCCGAAUCGUUUGAUCUGUCGAAUGGCGCAAACUUCGAGGGUCACUAUUUGCAGCCGUUUCGCAUCCCGACGCGCUCUCAGAGGAGGAUCGUUGACUAGGUCCAGGGUCGGAAAAUUUCGGCACCAACAGUAAUAUAAAAAUUUCAUGCUAAAAUAACUUUUAUACUUUUUAUUUAAAUUUUUAUGUAGAAUAAUUAUUAUAAAAAAAAAUUUCCAUGUCGCAUGUGUGUACUUACUUAGGGCAUAGAUUUUGACUGUGUGUGAAGGCUAGGAGGCAGCACGAGGUUUCGCCCAAGUGCUGUUGUUGUUGUUGUUGUUGUACGUAGGAGAAAAGUAAUAAAUAACAAAAAAUAUAUAUAUGGGUGUUGUUAUUGUGUUCUUUUUAUUUUAUAAAAGGUGGGAAAAUGAUAGUUUCCCACUUCAGUAGUGCAAUGCGCGUUCCAAAAUGUUCAAUGUUAAUUAGAAGUGAUGAUAUUUGUGUUUUAAAUGGAGUUGCACUCCUGGGUAUUAUUAAUUACUCAUCUAGACAAUUUAUAGUUUUGAGACUUGUAGAGUAAAAUCAUUUGAUCCAACUGAUUUUUUUUAUAUAAAAUCAAACUAUUUAAUGUAGGAAAGAUUUUUUAGAUAAUAUUAUUUAUGUCUCGACUUCGUUUGUUGCAUAAUGUGUAAAAUAAAAUAAACCAACUAAAAGUACAAGAUAUAACUUUCAUUAAAUGGCUGUUUUGUUUUAUGUGUUCUUUUUGCAAGAAUCAAAUAACUAGCUUUUAGAUCAUCAAAUAUAAAUAUAUUAUGCUUCUAAUUUUCUAGCCAUCCUUUAAUUUUAAUGGGUGGUUAAGAUGAAAGAGAAAAGAAAAAUAAGGAAGAAAUUAAAAAAAAAAAAAAUUAAGACAUCCAAUUUCACUUCAAUUGAGAAAAGAAAAAUUAAUUAUGUAAAAAUUACUUUUCCACGAGCUAUACCAAAGGGGUACUUAUUCUCGUUAGAAAAAAAAAAAAAAAAAUCCUCUAUUAUUACUACAUUAUUAUAAAUAAUAACGACUUAAUCCACCAUGCAUUACUCUUUUAAAACUUAUGUACAGCAUACGAUGAACCGCCGACAAAAACAACUCUAUUAAUAACGAACAUUAAUUAUUACCGCGCACAAGGAUGUGGUUCAUGGCCAGGUGCUCCGCUCCUUCAUCCACGUACACCUGUUCCUAUAUAUAUGACGCCAUCUUCGACUACGAGGCUUAUAAAAGCCCACGCUCGCUCUCGCCGUUCCGCACCUCCAUUUCCUUUUUAUGUGUUCAUACCUUCGCCCCUAGCUAAUUACUCCGCAAAAUUUUUAUUUUUCGUUUUUUGGUUUUGUUUUAUUCAAGUAGGAUUGAAUAUUUGGUAUCAAAUGGGCACCGCGAUCGUCGACCCGGCCCGAACCGCGAUGGCGAAUCACAUGAAUGGCGGCGGAGGCGGAGGCGGAGGCGGAGGCGGUCGCUUCGCUCCGCCGCCUCUUGCGCAGAUCCUCCCGAGGCGUGCGCCUGAUUCCGACGAUGAGGAGGAGGAGGAGGAGGAGGACGACGACGACGUGGAGGACUCGGAUUGGGCGGCGCUGUGCGGGAGCCACGAGGAGGUGGAGCCCUCGGUGCAGGACCCGCGCGACGAGGGGACGUCGGACCGGUGGGUCCGGCGCAACCCCUCGCUGAUCCGGCUCACGGGGAAGCACCCCUUCAACUCCGAGCCCCCGCUCCCGCGGCUCAUGCACCACGGGUUCCUCACCCCGGCGCCGCUCCACUACGUGCGCAACCACGGGCCCGUCCCCCGGGCCGAUUGGUCCGCGUGGACCGUCGAGGUCGCGGGACUGGUCCGGCGCCCGGCGCGGCUCACCAUGGACCAGCUGGUCCGGGACUUCCCCCCGGUCGAGAUCCCCGUCACGCUCGUCUGCGCCGGGAACCGCCGCAAGGAGCACAACAUGGCGCGCCAAACCGUCGGCUUCAGCUGGGGCCCCGGCGCCGUCUCCACGUCCGUGUGGCGCGGGGCCCGCCUCCGCGACGUCCUGCGCCGCUGCGGCAUUGCCGCGCGCGGGAGCGGGGCCCGCCACGUGCGCCUCGAGGGCGCGGAGGACCUCCCCGGCGGCGGCGGCGGCGGGAAGGGGUCCAAGUACGGGACCAGCCUCCGGCGCGAGGUCGCGAUGGACGUGUCGCGCGACGUCUUGCUGGCCUACAUGCAGAACGGAGAAUUGCUGUCCCCCGACCACGGCUUCCCGGUGAGGGUCGUCAUCCCCGGCUUCAUCGGCGGCCGCAUGGUCAAGUGGCUCCGCAAAAUCACCGUCGCCCCAGAGGAGUCCGACAGCUACUACCAUUACCACGAUAACCGCGUCCUCCCCUCCCACGUCGACGCCGAGCUCGCCAACGCAGAAGGUAUCCAAAUUCAAAAUCAUACUGAUAUACUCUCUUCUCUACUUCGACUUCAGUAGAGCUGAAGGACGCACUAAUAAAAUAAAAUUUUUAAACAUAAUUUAUUUUAUUUUAUUUAUUUAUUUAUUUUUUGAUUUGGUGUGGUGGAUGAAUAAAGAUUGGUGGCACAAGCCGGAGUAUAUCAUCAACGAGCUAAACAUUAACUCGGUGAUCACCACGCCGUGUAACGACGAGAUCCUCCCCAUCAACGCAUUAACCACGCUAAGCCCGUAUACCAUCAGGGGCUACGCCUAUUCCGGUGAGUCCGUUAUUUCGCUUAUUAUUUUUAUUUAUUUACUACUGUGGUAAAAAAAAAAUUAAAAAUAAUAAUAUUUAGAAUUGAUUGAGAUGUUUUUUUGGGUUAGGUUGUUUUUUUUUUUUUUUCCUCCCAUAAUUUUGGUGUCCGCUGAAACUUUUAGUUAGUGAAAAAACAAAAAAAAUAAAAAAAUAAAAACGAAAAGAAAUUAACAGAAUUGAUGAUUGUGGUCGAAAUUGCGACCUAGUAAUUUUUAUCCCAUGAAUUUUGACAUUGCGGUUCCUGUGAGCCUUUUGCUUACCAAUUAAGUAAAGGGAAAAAUAUAUGGAUCAGAAAAUAUAUACUUUUUUAAAAUUACUUGCUCUAUGUAUUUGCUAUUAAAUGUAUAGGCAUAUUUCAAAAUAUUUGGCUCAGAAACUUGCGUCAAUAUAAUUCGAAAUUAAGCCCGAGUUUGCUCGAGAAAAAUAACUUAUUUUGUUAUUACUAAACUGAAUUCAUUAAAAUUAGUUAUCAUUUACUAGAGUAAAAAUAUCUCAAUUAAGUAUUCACUUCGCACAGACUAAACGACGCAAGUUCGAAGCAUAAUUAUUUUAUAUUUCAAAUUAAAUUUAUUUUUUUUAAAAGGAUAAAUAAAAUUAAUAGCACAUUAAUUAUCUUCUAUUCACUUCACCUAAGCUAUUACACACGUUCUUUGAAGGCGGCAAUUUAUAUACAUACAGAGAGAGAGGGGGAAGGAGAGAAAGAGUCCUGUCGGAAUACUAUCGAUAGCACCAAAUGCUUAGUGUUACUAAGUUUUCCGCCGUUAGAUUUAACCUUUUGACUAUUUUCAUUCAUUAGAUUAUAUUACUCAACCAAUGAGUCACUCAGCUCCAAGGGGUCCAUAUCAUUCUAAUCGUAUAUUUUUUCAUUUAAGAACCGAAAAUCUAAUAGCACCAAGCGCUUGGUACAAUUAAUAGUAUUUCAGCCUAGUUCUAUAUAUAUAUAUAUAGAGAGAGAGAGAGAGAGAGAGAAUUGAGCUCCUAUAUUUUUAAAAGUAUCAAGUCAUUAGUGCUUGUAAGUUUUUAGCCAUUGGAUUAAAAGAUGUGCGGUUAGAAUGAUAUGCGCCCCCUUGGGUUGAGUGGGUGGUCGGUUGAAUAGUAUAAUCUAACCGGUGAAUAUGAUCAAAGCCAUUCAUUAUCUACUAUUCACUUCACCAAAUUAUUACACACGUUCUUUGAAAGCCGCAAUAUAUAUAUAUAUAUAUAUAAUCUGCUUAUUAUUUAUUACACUGACUCAUGAGAGGAACAACAAAAGAAAUUUGCCUCUUAUUCAGAAUAAUAUAAAGCCUAUUUUAAAUAUUAUUUCGGCUUGUUUACAACAUGCUGUUUUUUUUUCUUUUUUGGCUUUAUUCCCGCCGACUCACAACGCAAAAAGUCGGCAAUUGAAAUAUUAUUAUUAUUAUUAUUAUUAUUGUUACUACUGUGUCCACUGAUAGUUUAGAAUAACUACUUUUUUAUAAAAAAAAAAAUAAAUUAUUAUACUAUUUUUAUAUUUUAUGCUCAACAUAAUAAUUUAUUUAAAGCUGCGUUUUUUGUUUGACAGGGGGAGGUAGGAAGGUGACGAGGGUGGAAGUCACGCUGGACGGCGGCGAGAGUUGGGUGGUGUGCGCAGUCGACCACCGCGAGAAGCCGAACAAGUUCGGCAAGUACUGGUGCUGGUGCUUCUGGUCCGUCGACGUCGAGAUCCUCGACCUCCUCGGCGCCAAGGAGAUCGCCGUCCGAGCAUGGGACGAGUCACUCAACACCCAGCCUGAGAAACUCAUCUGGAACGUCAUGGUACACAACCAAAAAUCAAAAUCAAAAGUUUAAAUUUUGAAUUUGUAAUUAAUGCACUGUUUGUUUUAGUAGGACUGUGGCCACUUGAGCGAUAUAAAAUUAAUAUUCUAAUUAGAUAAAUAAUAAAUUCAAAUUUUACAAAACAGUUGUUGAAUAAUUAGAUAGUAAAUUAAGAAAGUCUAGAGGAUCGUAUUUUCAAAAUGCUUUAUAAUUUAGACGAAGUUUAAGUAAAAAUAUAUAAAAUUUAUCCGUAGUAUGGACUAUUUUGAGUUGAUUACUUAACAUCAAAAAUAAGUUUAAUUUUACUGGUCAACCUUCUAAUUUGUUUAAUUUGAAUCGUUUAAUAAUACUUUGAUUUUAAAAUUUAGAAUAAUUAUAGAUUUUAAUAAAUUUAUAUUUGCGAGAAUUGUAUAUAUGAAGUAUUCUAACUAUAUUUGUAAAGACAAACGAUCCAUUCAGAUUUUAAAAUUAAAAUAUUAUUAACUGACUCAUAUUAAGCAAAAUAAAAUAUUAUUAGACAAUAAAAUUAAAAUUUUUUAAAAAAUUAAAUAGUUGACUUAAAAUAAUACAUAGAUCAGAUAAGUUAUGUAUGUUUGAACCUAAAUUUCAUAAAUUUUUUACCCGAAUAUCUUGCCAUGCAUUUUAAUUUAUGCGACUAAACUGGGAAGACAGUGAGUUAAAUGGUGUGAUCAUUUCGGGGAUGCAGGGCAUGAUGAACAACUGCUGGUUCAGGGUGAAGGUGGCAGGCUGCCGGCCGUACAGGGGCGAGAUCGGGCUGGUCUUCGAGCACCCGACGCAGCCCGGCAACCAGCCCGGCGGCUGGAUGGCCAAGCAGAAGCACCUCGAGACUUCCACCGCCACCGCUGCCGCCGCAGCCGCUCGUCUGCCGACUCUCAAGAAAAGCACGUCGUCCCCCUUCAUGAACACCGCCGCCCAGCAGUUCUCCAUGUCGGAGGUCCGCAAGCACUCGUCGGCCGACUCCGCCUGGAUCGUCAUCCACGGCCACGUCUACGACUGCACCGCCUUUCUCAAAGACCACCCGGGCGGCGCCGACAGCAUCCUCAUCAACGCCGGCACCGACUGCACCGAGGAGUUCGACGCCAUCCACUCCGACAAGGCCCGCGCCAUGCUCGACACCUACCGCAUCGGCGAGCUCGUCGCCGCCGGCUAUGCCUCCGACAACUCGGUGCACGGCGCGUCGGACUUUGCUAACCAUCUGGACACGAUUAGCGAGGCCGCCCGAGCUCCGGCUGCGGCUCUCGUCGAUCGGCGCGAGAAGGUGCGGUGCCGGCUCGUGGCCAAGGCCGUGGUCUCGCGCGACGUGCGGCUCUUCCGAAUUGCUCUCCCGUCGGACGACCAAGUUCUUGGUCUUUCAGUUGGUAAACACAUUUUUCUUUGCGCCACUGUCGACGGAAAGCCGUGCAUGCGCGCCUACACGCCGACGAGCCCCGUCGACACGGUUGGGUACUUCGAGCUCCUCAUCAAGGUUUACUUCAAAGGUGAGCACCCAAAGUUCCCCGACGGCGGAGUCAUGUCGCAGUACCUAGAGUCGCUUCCAAUCGGCUCCGCCAUCGACAUAAAGGGGCCACUCGGGCACAUCGAGUACUCCGGCCGGGGCAAUUUCAUGGUCAACGGGAAACCCCGGUUCGCGCGGCGGCUCGCGAUGAUCGCGGGUGGGACGGGGAUCACGCCAGUGUACCAAGUUAUCCAGGCGGUGCUCCGUGACCAGCCGGACGACCGGACCGAGAUGCACUUAGUCUACACGAACCGGUCGGAGGACAACAUUCUCCUAAGGGACGAAUUGGACUGGUGGGCGGCGGUGUAUCCGGACCGGCUCAGGGUUUGGUAUGUAGUGGACAGGCUCAGCCGGCCCGACAAGGAGUGGCGGUACAGCAUCGGUUUCGUGACGGAGGCCAUAUUACAGGAGCACGUCCCCGCGGGCGGCGCCGACGACACGCUCGCACUCGCGUGCGGGCCGCAGCCGAUGAUACAAUUCGCCGUUUUGCCAAACCUCGAGAAGAUGAAGUAUGAUAAAUCCGACUCCAUCUUUAUUUUUUGAUACGGCACGAUACGAUUCGGACACUGUAAAUAUAUAUGUAUGGAUUUAUUUUGACUACUGUGCUAGUCCUAUUCUUUGGUAAUUUAAGCCAACAAAAGCCUAGAAGAGAGGUCAAAAGCGGAUAAGCAGAUGCGUAUGGAAUCUCCAUUUCCAUUUAUUAAUUUGAUUAAUGCAAUGUGUAUUAUUAUGGUUUGAUGGAAUCUUUGAAACAAGGGGGUUAGUUGUGGGACCAAAAAGUAUAUGAGAAAAUCCUCUUGGAGUGGUACUAAAGGAUAUUCAUUAGAAGUGGUUGAUAGUGAUGGGCACUGAAAAAGAAAAUGUUCUUCAAGUUUGUUUUUUUCUUUUUAAAGAUAAGUGCUAAAUUCAUUGAACUUUAAUAUCAAAUUGUAUGUCAUUGUUAGUCUCUACAUAAUGCAAUUUAAUUUCCGAGUUAAAUGUAUUGUAACAAAUGUAGCUCAUCUAGAAGAACCCCAAUUUUUUUAAAUAAACAUCAAAGCGUGGUCUGUAAGUUUGAGACGAUCAUAUAUACUUUUCAUUGAUCUAGGCUAUAGGUCACACAGUAGCCACCAUCCGUACAAAUAUUUAUUUAUAUUUGUAUUUCUUUGGUUAACAAACUAAAAUUUAAAGGCUAAAUUUAGUCUUACUUAAACUUCAAUACAACUUAAAAGUGAUUUUCAACCUAAAAAGUAGUUGUGCGCAAAGAAAUAGGUUGAUUAAGUUAGUUUUUACCACAAGAAAAUACUCUCUAGUAAGAGCUAAUAAACAUGGUACAAAAGGCUACAAAGGACAUUGACAAAUUUGCUUUUGUUUAAAGUGUAAGAGCAGAUGCGGAAGAGUAAAAUUAAAAGCAUGCAUGGUUGUGAGGAGGUCAAAGUAAUAGUGAAAUGAUAGAUGCAAUGAAUUAAGGAAUCAUUGAAUUUGCCCUCUUUACCUUCAAGGACACAUUACUGUCCUUAAUAGAGUAGAUACUUUCCAAGAAAAACUCUUCAACACUGCAUACAAACCACCCAUGGUUGAGUGUUUACCCACCAACCCUGUUGCUUUUAAGUUUCUCCUUUUGACUUUAAUGACAAGAAGAGACAACAGAGUCCAAUAACAUCAUAGAAUAUUCUAUUAAUACCCCAACAAUAUUUAAUAAUUUUAAUAAAUAAGUUUUUUUUGUUGACAUGCAAAUUACAAAUUAUCCGAAGUGAUAUAAAUGCUACAGAACAGUAUUAUAAUAAGAGAAAUGCUAAGAGUACGCCUCUAGACUAGGUAUAGAUCUUACACCCCUCACAUCCAAGAACUCUUAUUCUCUACUUGUCAUAUUAAUUUUUUUUAACUAUGAAUUUAAAGAAGUUUAUGAAGCCUAAGAUGCUGGAACUGCUUCAGAUAUAACAGUAAAUAAAGAUGAUGCCAAUGAGAACUAGCAAGUUCAAAGAAUUUCUCAACCAAAUGUGUUAAUGAAUCAUGGCCCUAGCUUGACUUAUUAAUCUAACAUUAUCCAUCAAAUAGUUUUCAGUGUUUGAAAUUUGCUGUAAUUCAAUUAAUCGAAUUGAUCUAUAGUUUUUCAAGCAAAUUUGCAAUGAAAUGUAGUUAAGUAAGGUCCAACCCCACAAAGAACAUGGUGUCACAUUAAGCCUCUUGAGUACUAACAUGCAAAACAAAGAAUACCUACAUGGAUUUCUUGACAAUAAAAAGCAUUCUCAAGGUGAGAUUAGUUGAAGGAAGUUAAUGCAAAGAUGAGAUAACACUCCCCACAGAGGACACAAGAUAAUUGAUUUAAUCUAAUGAUUGAAACCAAGAACAAGCAUUUUGUUCGGUAAUCGAGAAUGUUUACUAGAAACAACAAUAUGACAACAAAGAAAUGAAGAAUACAGAUCAUUCAAAUAAUCUUAAUGCUUCCUAGAAUGAAGCAAAUAAUUUACACCAUAUGCAAAUGUUAAGAAGUGCACAAAUAAACAAAGAUGCAUCAACAUACAUGACAAGAACAACAAUAUUUCAUUUGGGUCUAAAUUACAUGAAUGUAAAUCAGUAAACUAGAGAAGAAAUUCACAAAUAUCUAGCCAUUACCUAUUCAACAGUGUGCCGGUUUCCCUUUGAUCAGCAAUAAACAAGAACGGUACUAGCUUCUGCUCCUCAGCUUACAUCCAUGCCCGAUCUACCCCGGCUUCUUCGUCGGCGGCGCCGUCGUCCCUCCGAUCUCGCCACAUCCAUGCCUCUCCCUUGGGCACUAAUGACAGAAGCCACCGCCUCAUCAUCAACAUCAGCUGAAUACGCAGCACUAACAUCAGGACCGCUAAUUCCAUCUACAGAAUCAUAACCACUCUCUUCUUCCCUUUGUUCCGAUCCUGCGUUCUCUGUUUGAAGCCUCAUAAGUCGCGCACCCUCUUGCAAGAAGAAGUAAAGGAUCCUCCUACUAAUGUCAUGACUUCCCCUUUCAUCGUUCUCUUCGUCGGAACCGUCCAUCUCUAUAACAUAAUCCCCAAACACCACUGCCCUCGGCAUUGACGACCUGAUAGUGCUGAUCACAUCCUGCCGCUCCCUCUCGUGCUCGAGUGUCCUCCACUUCUGCUCAUGUGCAGGAUCCACAUCACGAGGCCUUGCGGAAGGGUGCACAGACUUCACAUGUUUGCGGAGCUCUCUAUAUGAUCCCACGAAAGAGCAAUCAUCCUGCAUACAGCUUCUCUUCUUACUAUUUAAAUAUUCACGAGCUGGUUCCACAACGGUCCAUCCCUUCACCUCGCCCCGGCACAGAGGGCAGGAAAGCUCGAUUGCUUCUGGCUUUUGGCCUGUCUCCUUGGAGUAGGCUUUUCUGAACUGGUCGAGGCAAUUAGAGUGGCGGUCACUGGUCCCGCACAUAUAAGGGCGGCAACCCUUGUCAUGGGACGAACAGAGGAGGAGGACGGCGUUGUGGGGGUACUCCAUACACACCGAGCAGGUGGUGUCUUCCCACUCCCUCUUCUUCUCUGAGCAUAAGAGCCUAUUCUUCUUCCUAUCAGUUACAUCUUCUGUAUUCCAAUGGUAGGAUGGGAUAGAAUAUGGAGUAGACCUGUGCUGACGAGUUGAAAGUCUUCGGCGUCUGACACUUCUUGCCAUUUUAGCAGAAUAUCUGAGGAAAAUAAUUGUUAAAAUCUUAAACCAGUGUUAUAAAAUGCUCUCCUAAUAUUCAUUUAUGGGAUUCUGUUGACAUGUAUGUAAGAAAGGUUGUAACGAAGACCACAUUUUGUGAACCUCUUUCUUUGUUAUGCACUAUCCUUGUUCAAAAAUAUAGAGCAACGUAAGUAAAAUUCCAAUAUCUCGCAACUAAUAGUGUAAUUGUGUGUGGGACUGAAAGAUUUUAUGCUUGCACUUAAAAAUCACAUGAAAAUUUCCAGCUUUACACUUGUAUAAAAUAAUACUGGUUCAUGCAAAUAUGUCUCUGUCUGUGCGAAGAGCAUGUAACUGCAUGCGUGCAAAGAACCACAGACACAUGCGAGAACAAAGAAGACAAUAAGACAGAUAUGACCGAAUUUUCACUCACCACUACUCAACUAGACGACAGAAACUUGUCGUGCAACAAUAGCCUACCUGUGGGAUAAAAAAGUUUUGUAUAACACUCAACAACUUAGUUCUCUAUUCAGGAACAUAAAACAAGCAGUACUAUAGGCCUAGAGACCAUCAACCACCAUUCAAUUAUUUAGACAACUCUACUUCCAAGUUAGAGGUAACAAAGAAUAGCCACAAUAAUAUACGAGGCAAAAUGGAGUUACUUUCAGUCCAAAACAUAUCACAAAUGAAAUAUUUAACAAACAUAAACCGUCCAUCUACUUUACUGGAAGACAAUUUAGGUCCCAAAUAUAUGUAGAUUAGCAUGCGCGCCUUUGAAAACGAUAGAUCAUAAAUCUUUCGAGUCAAGGGAUCUGGAUAAAUCUCAAUUGGCAAAGCUAGAUCCUACGAUUCCUUGGAGACGUAAGGAUUUACACUAGACAUCUCACAUUACGUCUCCAACUUCAAAACAGAUGAUGAAUCCAUAUAGCCAAUUACAGAUGGUAUUGUAAUGAGUGGAUAAUUGUCUUGUAAUACAAUAAUUAUAAGACAAAUAAAAGAUUUAUCUGAUAACUAUGUUGCUUUAAUGUAUCUAUUCAUCUUUGACACCAAGCAUCCUCAGAUCUACAAUUGCCUACAACUUUAUUUUAACAUUCACCAUAACUCAAGGCCAAAAUUAUUCAAUUUAGCUGUUCGAACAGAACCUAAUUUUAGUCCUAAGAAAAACUAAAACAUUUCAACACUAGCACCAACUUGGGUAGAUCAUUGUUAUACUCCAUCUCCCAAAAAACCAAGAACUUGAAAAUCAAGGAUGAACUAAAAAGUGUUGCGAUAAAAUUGAAUUAACUCCAUAUGAAGUGAAAAAUUCAGAAUUCCAAUUGCUACAGAGCAUAAGCCAGGAAUAGUAGCUGUGUCACAAACCUAAAUCAUACAGCAUUAAUUUUUUUUUAAAAAAAAUGGAGGUAAGAGAAUUUAUUUAGAAUUCCCAGGUCAAUUGUUAACAAUUCGUGUAACAAUUUCGCCUUUCCCCAACAAUUUAAAAGCUCAAAUGCCCACUUUGAUAUCUAAACUACUCUCCUAUGAAAUCAUACUCAUGAAUUACCUGUUUUUGAGGAAGCCCCCUCUCAAACAAACAAAUGAGGAAAAUAAAGCAAGAGAUAAUAGAAAAAUGCCAACUUUGUUACUUAAGACAGUUGAGGGAUACAAACAUAUAUAUAGAGAUAAAUAUAUACAGCAAACCCCACAUCAAACAAAGAUAGAAUUUUUAUUAGUGUAUUAUAUAAGAUGCUCUGAUCAACCGAUAACCCCGAUGGGAUCUACCCUAACCACGCAACGCAAGCAUUAUUAAAUUAAAAAAAAAUUAAAAAUAAUUUAAAAAAAAAAAAGGUGGGGGGGGAGACUCACAUGCUCUUACGAUCUCGGCAUCUUACAGCUACUACUCAGAUCUCCCAACCCCCCUCAAACUGGGGACCCCAAAAAAGGGGGAGGAGAAAAAAAGUUAAAAAGAAAAAAAGGGAAAGGUAAAGAGGGAAGGUAAAAGAGAGGGCCCAAAAUUGAACUCGAAUGUUUCGGAAAUUUUUAAAAUUUUGCGAGGAAAACGAAGAAGGGGGAAGGGUCGAAUUGUGUACCUAGGGUUUCCUCGAAUGGCGAUCGAGCUCAAGCAAAUCCUCGCGCUUUUUUUUUUUUUUUUUUUUUUUUUUUUNGGAAGAAGACGAAAUGGUAACGGAGUUGUAGCCACGUUUGUUAUAUAGGGAGGGGACGAGUGGUGUUGAAAAUGGGAAUUAACGUCAUUUGGACCGCGCGAUGAGGACACGAUGUCGAGGAGUUUGGAUGUGGACCGUAAUAGGCCGGGCCUGAUCAACCAGAUCCGGCCCGGUUUGAGUUGAUUAGCUCUUCCUAUAUGGGCCGAAUUAAGCCCACGACAAGCAAGGCCUGUAGUAGGCCUAAAAGUUAUUCAGGCUUGGGACCCCUUUGGUGUGGAGACUAAUGUUAAGUAAAACGGAGUUGGCCAAAAAUAUAUAGGCUUCGUUUAGAAUUACGAGGAGAUUACGUUAUAUAUGGUGAAAAAGUACCAUGAGAAAAUAUCCUAUUUCUUUUCAUAUGUAGAGUCAACCGGAAAACACAGAAGCAUAUCGCUAUAUACUUUUAUCCCAAUUCCAUUUUAUCUAAUAGUAUCAUAUGAGCCUCAAUACCAAACUAAGCUAUAAUAAUAUGUUUCUUCAUUUUUUAAUGAGACAGUAAAAUGUAUAUUAAGUAUAGAAAUAAAUAGAAUAUUUUUCAAAUCUUUUGUUGUUUCAAAAUUCACAAAUAAAUGGUUGGUGUAUUUUCCAGCAUCAUUUUAUGUGGAAUUAGUGAUUUAGAAGCUGUUUGGUUUCUCCAAAAAGCAUGGAAAAAAAAAUUUCAUAAAAAAUCUCUUUAGCUUUCAGUUUUAAAUCCAUGUGAUUGCAAAGAAAACUUGCUUCUUUGGAAAGCUUAUUUUCAAAUUUUAUAGAAAACUAGUAUUUUUGUUUUUCUUAAAAAAUUCUGAAAAAUAAAAAUAUUAAUUUGCUAUGAAAUUUGCAAAAAAGUUUUUUAAAAAAUUAGUUUUUCUUGAAACCAAACGAACGAAAAACUAAAAAAAAAAGUUUUCAUAAAAGUAAAAUUGAACUGUCUACAUAUGUACACGAAUACAUGAGAUGAACGAAGAUCAUAAAGGUUUAAGGCAUUACUUGUUCUUGGGGCUUUUCAAAAUAUUUUCGAACCUCUUUACAGCAUAGAAAAAAAAAAAAAAAAAAAAAAGGAAAAACUGUGGCAGUGUUUGGGUGAAGAACGAGGACCCAGAGAUGACAAUAUAUACGGAAAUACGUGGACCAUUCCUCCAAAUACUACAUACGGUGGUAUACGCUCUACGCUUCGAAAUUAAUGGGCGGAGGAGGAGAUACGUAGAGAAGGCGCAUAUUUUUGUUAGCAAAUUAUAUCAAAGGACAAUAAUUUUAUAGGUAACGGCAAGAAUUUAAUUAUCACGGCGUGCCAAAAAUUUACAGACACGGUAUGAUACGGUGCAUGUCGAAUCAUACCAAUAAAUGUCAAUCAAAGAAAUACAUGUAUACCAACAUAAUAGCAUAAAAUAUUUAUUUUUUAGCAACAAAAUAUUUUAAUUAUUUAUUUAUAUUUUUUAAAAUUUUAUUGAGAAAAUUACUUAUUAUUCUUUUUAAAAAAAUGAGGGUUUUGAAAUGUAUUAUUAGAACGAAAAUUGUAUCGUACUGAUAUAUUAUUAACACGAUAUGACACGGUGAAUGCAGUCUGUAUCGAUAAACACUUAAAUUCUUAAAUAACGGUGAAAUUGUGAUAUUCCAAUAAGUAAUUCUUUACCCUGCUAAAAUUUCUCUAUCACUGUCCAAUAAUAUCCAACUGUAAAAUACUAUUAAUCUUCAUAAUCUUAGUCAAUGUGGCAUCUAUAAUCUAUAAUUUAUAAAAUCUAUUAAUUUAGAUGAAUUCCCAAUGUUUGUUGUCAUAUGGUAAGUUUUUCUUCACCCUCACUAGCAUGUGACUCUUCUUCUUUCCCUCACUAAACUUUCAAUGUACAUUUUAAUGAUUCCACUAACAAAACUUUUAAUUAAUAUAUUUAAAUGGUUCCAUUCACAAAACUUUAAAUUAAUAUAUUUAAAUGACCCCACUAUCAUGUAUCAUUCUAUCAUUUCUAUCUACAAUUAUUCAUUAUUACCAUUUCCAUUCCCUCCACUGUACUUUUAAUUAAUGCAAACGAUUUCACUACCAAACUUUCAAUUAAUAUGUUUAAAUGAUCUCACUACUAUCUUACAAUCCUAACCUCUCUCUAUCUCCAAUUAUUGAUUAUGGCAAUUUUCCUUCCCUCCACCAGACUUUUAAUUUUUUUAUCUCCAACCUAUUCCUCGCUCCCUCCCUGUCUCUCACUAAUACGCGCCCACUUCCCCUCUCCCCAUGACGUUUGGUGGAUAUAUCAAGUGAGAUACAGAAGAGAAUGUUUAAUAUUUUCUUAUUAUUAAUUACUAUUAUAAUUUUUACCUGCUGUAAAGCGCGGGCCCUUCACUAGUUCUAUUGAUUUUCAUAAUCUUAGUCCAUGUGGCAUGCUUUCCUUAAGUUUUACCUAUGGGAUCCACCUUCAGAGUUUCUCCCUCUUCCGAUUUCUAUUCUCCAAUCGCUUCGCUCAUUUUUCGCUCUUCCAUACUGUGCUCGCUCACCUUCCACGUAACUCAUUGCCUCUUCGACUUUCCCUCUCAUUAAUUAAAUGCUACUCUCCAAUCACUUUGCUCUUUGUUCAUUCCUCCGCAGUGUGCCCAUUCGCCUCUUCCGUAAAAUCAUUGCCUCUUCGGUUUCCUGCCUCAUUAAUUUCUACUUUUUACGAGAUGUUGCCUCAUAAUAAAUGAUAAAAAAAGAAAAAAUUAUUUCUAAAGUUUUUUUUCUUUAUUGUACACUACUUUUUAUAAAUAAGUUAUUUGAGUUAUAUAAAAAUUGACAGAGCAAAAUUAUCAAGAACUAAUUAAAUUAUUUUGUUGCACCAACAGACUAAAUAUAAUAUAUAAGCCGUUGGACUCAUGGAUGUAUGAAAAUUAGCUCUUUACAAUUUAGGUAGUUACAACUAAAUAUUAUUAUUUUUAAAAUUUAUUUAUAUGGCUGUCAUAUAUUCCUUGCACUUUUUCUUCAAUUACUUUACAUUCUGUACUAAUUCUAUAAUAGCAUGACAAUUUUGAUAUUUAUAGAUAAAUGCAAUAAUAGUUGGUGUUAAGAGAAAUCUAAUUUGGGUUAAGAAAGAGAAUUGGACAAAUAAAUUUCUUUAUAUGAUUAGUUAAAUAUGAAUUUAAGUCUCUUCAGCAUAAUCUUUUGCCAUUUGUUAUACAUUCUUUAUAAUAUUCUAAAUAAAUAUCUUUUCACUUAUACUUCUUACUUUUUCAUUUCUUACAUUUUUUUUUUCUUAGAUUGUAAUUUCAUUGUAAAAAAAUUUUCUAUAUUUUUUAUAUUAUUAAAUCCUUUCUCACGUUAUUAUUUGUUAUUAAAUUUGUAAAUUUGUACUAAAAUAUUAUUACCCACCGCAUCGCCCGGAUUCUUACACUAGUAAUAACAUGGAAAAAAAAAAAAAACUGAAAUUCUUAUUAGGGGUUUGAAUGAUCACCGUAAUCUCCAAAUCAAAUGCUAUCUAAAAAUUUCAUUUCGCUAAUUAAUGAUAUUGAUCGAUCACCCUAUACAAAGCUAAUUACAUGCGUGUGUGAAUGCAUGUGCACAACAGCAAGUUUUCAUACGUCAAUACCUUUAUUUUAUGAAACUUUUGAAUUAGCACUAUGCAUUUAAAUCGUUAUAAUUCUGAAAAUUAUAUACAAAACUUGUUUUUCAUGCGUACAUAUUAUUCACAACAUAUAUAAAACUAAUUAAAUCACUACAACAAAAACGGUCUAUAGUGACACUUUUAAAUGUAGCUAUAUGUCAAAAAAGUGCUGCUAGCUAAAAUUACCGACACUUUUAAAAAGUGUUGCUAUAUGUGGGGUCGCUAGGUAUAUAGUGACAGUUAAAGAGUGUCGCUAUAACCUAAAAGAGUGCUGCUAAUUUACCAACACUUAUUUAAGCAUUUAGCAACCGCCGAAACUCUAUCUCGUUGGCUGCGGUGGUGGAGGAGGACGACACGAAAGGCUCUUCGUCUAGAAAUUCAGUGGAUUGAGUAAAGAGAGAAGAAAAGAUGGUAAGUGAUUUUUCUUUUUUUUUUCUUUUCUGUUUGUAAUCGGGCCAAAUGGACUGGGUGUGGUGGGUUGAGUAGAGUAAUCUUUUAUUUUUGGUUGGAUUGGGCUUUAUAUUUAGAAUAAAUGGGACACUUACUUAAAAGUGUCCCAAACAUGUGUCCCUAUAACCUAAUUUUGUUAUAGUGAAUACCCACCUUAUUAAUAACGUUUGUUUGACAUUAAAGACAAAACUCUUUUUUUGAUUCUUUUUCCAACUUUUUAGAAUGACUAAAUUCAACGCUUUAGAUUUACCUACCGGUUUAGGUUAACCUAAAAUGAAACGUACAUCCUCUACAUUUCUCCAUAAAAUUUAAAGGGUUAAUUGCGCACUAGUUCCACAAACAUAGAUAGUAAAUUGUAAAUAUAUUCUUGUAAACUUCAACUUUCAUAAAUUAUUCCUACAAAAGUCAUAAUGUUUUCAGAUAUAUUGCUCUUAUUUGUUACAUUAGAAACUGUUAAAAAAUUGUUUAUAUUUUCAAUUUGCUAUCACAAAUAUAUCCCUCCAAAAAUUAUAACAGUAUAAUACAAAAGAGAUAAAAAUGUCAAAAAUUAUAAAAAUUAAUUAGGGUAAAGUAUUUAACCUAUGGUUAACUAAACUUUUCUAACGGAUUUUAACGACAGGAAUAUAUCUGAAAAUAUUAGGACUUUUGCAGGAAUAACUUAUAAAAUUUGAACUUUAUAGAAAUAUAAUUACAAUUCAUUAUGUUUGCGGGAAUCUGUAUGCAAUUAAUCCUUUUUUUUUUAUUUUUGAGAGAAAUGUCGCAUGCUACCCGCUUCGUUUAUUUCAUUUAGAAAUAAACUUAGCUGGAAAUGUGAAUCAACUAGGAUUCGAACUUGGGUCUCGGAUACCAACCAUCAAGCCCUUUUGCCACUUGCAAUUAAUUCAAAUUUAAAAGUCAAUAAAACAUAUUUACGCAUCCUCUUUCUCUAUACAUUUUUCCAUAGAAUUUAAAAGUCUUUACACUAAAAAAGUUAACUAAAUAUCUCUAUUGACGAAGAACUUGUAUUUAUAGACCACAGAAAACUAUAAUAAUAUACUGCUCUUAAGGUUUCAAAUAUUAUUAUUUUUUUUUAAUUUCAUCUUCUGAAUUUAAAUUUUAUUCUAAAUUUUAACUUCCCUUUUAUGAUUUUUUUUUUUUAUAUAGUUUGUUCUUGGCUUUAAUUUUGUUUCUGAACUUUCUUUGUAGCCGUAUAGACGAGACUUUUCCGAACGAUGGACCAAAAAGUAAGUUGAUUAUAACGCAAAUGAAAAUUCGCAAACUAGUGACGAAUAAAAGUAUCAGGAUGCAUGAAAAUCUCGUCAAGCUUUACGACUAGAUCUAUAAUUAACCAAUUGUAGAAUCAACAAACUUUCUAAAUGCAUACGAUGAAAUUAAACAACAAUUAAAUAGCUCAUAUAUGAAAAUGAACUUUUCCAACACUUAAAUAACCUACCAGUAUUAGACUCUUAUAUUCAUCAUUAUGGUGAAUUUUGAACAAGAUUAGUUAGGAGCACAAUAGUUAAAUAGAAUCAAAAUGUGCAAUAUCUAUGGAGAGAGAGUCCGGCUACAGUGCUAUUGAUAGCACCAAGCACUUAGUGCUAUCAAAUUUCUACCGUUAGAUUUAUCUCUUUCACCAUUUUUAUCCGUUAGAUUAUACUAUUCAACCAACCAUGCACCCACUCAACCCUAAGGGACCUCUAUCAUCAUAACCGUACAUUGCUUCAUCCAAGGGUCUAAAACUUAAUAGCAUCAAUGAGUUGGUGCUAUUAAUAAUAUUCCAGCCUAGUUCUAUAUGUAUAGUCCGGCUACAAUGCUAUUGAUAGCACCAAGCACUCGUACGAUCGUCUUCGUACUCAUAAGUCGUUUUCGAUGAUAGAGCUUUUGAAUUGACGAUCCAUACCGUUAAACAUUAUUUAGAGCAUUUAGAACUUCUAGAAAUCAAAUUUAAUAAUUUUUUGACAUCAUUUAUAUUAUAAUCAAAAGAUCUCAAAAUUGACAAAUUUGAACGGUCGGCAUGGGAUACUUGCUAGUUUAACGGUGUAAAAGAAUCGAAAUCGAUUGAAUUUUUGAUAAAAAAUUUUAUUUACUAUCUAGAUAAAGAUCAAUAACUCCGAUCUUAAAUUGAAGGAUCCAAUCAUUCAUUUUUAGAAUGUCGUUCGAUUUUGACCGUUCAUUUUAUGUCCGCUUGAUGGACUUUAUUAUAUUUUCAAAAAAUUACGAAAUUUAUUUUUUAGAAAUUUCUAAUACUCUAUAUCAUAUUUAACAGGGUGGAUCGUUGAUUCUGAACCUCCGUCAUCAAAAAUAAUUUAUGAGUAUAAAGGGCUUUAUACUCAUAAGAGUAUAGUAGCCCUACUAAAUCUAUAUAUAUUUAUGUGUGUGUGUGUGUGUGUGUAAAGGGGGUUGUUUUCUCGUGUUCUUCAAGGUCAAAAUUAUUUUUUGUGCUCUUUUAAGUAGGAUUCUCCAUUCAUUAAUUCUAGAUGUGGGCUUUAAAAGUGUGCUUUAUAAAUAUUUAGCAACUAAAGUUUGGAACCUGGAAUAUAACAAAAGCUCUUUAAGAAUAGAGAUUUAUAUUUGUUUGUAUUCGUAAUUUAUCAAGAUACAUUAUAUAUCUAGCUAGUUAAUAUAUAGCCAUGAUCUUUAGCACGUUAAUAAAUGAUACAUUCCCUGUUAUCUAUAUACCACAUGCAUAUUGUUUACUGCAUAAAACUCGAAUUUAAAAAAUAAUAAUAAGAAGGUCUUGCAGUUCUAGCUAGCUAGUUCAAUUCAACACUUUGAUUUGGUUACAUAAUUCGUGGAUCAUAUGCCUAAUAAAUUAAAUAUUUAUAUAUGAAUUACAAAAAAUUCCAUAUGUAAUCUUCAAUUUGUUAUUGCUUAUUUUUUUCCUAAUGCAGUUGAUUCUCUAUUUUAUCAUCCAUUACUUUACUUUCCAUAUUAGAUUAAGCUUGUAAUUUUAAUCCAACUAAAAGAGAGGGGGGAAAGGGGAAAAAAAAAAGAAUUAAUUAAGGAACAUUAUGUGAUCAUCUAAUUAAUAUUAAAAUGUGUGCAAGCUAGUUUUCAUAAAUAUAAAUAUAUAGAUAUUAAUUGUUGUCUAUUAACUGCAUGCAUGUGGUAACUUAAUUAUAAUUUCGAUUGAUUAUCAUGCACUUUAUUACUUGAAUAUAGCUGUUGUUACAAAUACUCUACAUAUAUUAAGUACUACUGCGUAAGUUUUGCAAGUUAAUCCCAAUAUACGAGUUUCACAGUACAUAAUGAUUGAUGAGGACACCUAGCUACAAUGUGUUGAUAUAUGUUGUUCAAUAAGAACCAUUAAAAUUACGCGUGAUAAACAAUUAAUAAGAUGCUGAAAUUAUUGUUGAUUAGGCAAUUUUCCUUUAAUUUGAAUUAUUUUCAUAAAUCAAGAAGCUCAAUAGUACAAGAAAAUGAUAUUCAAAAUCUAAUCUCAAAGUUGAAAGAACUAGAGGAAAAAGGGCAUCGAUAGCCAAGGGAUAUGAUUAAGUAUAUUUUUUGUGUACAAUUAUCAAUCUAAGGUCCUAAUUCACUGAGGAGAAAGGGAGUCAAUCACCCACUUACUGCUACUUUUACUACUCUCUUCAUCCUUGUUACUCGAAAAGGGGUUGUUCGCGGGCCAUUGAUACUUCAUAUUGUGUGUUUGGAAGUUCGUGGACAUGUCGAAGAUGCCCGAAGUGCUCGGAGAACUUGCGAAGCUAUUCAGAGUUGGUAGAUUGGGCGAAGAAUUCAAAAGAUAUGGGCUUAGAUAUGAAGAAUGUAUUUGGUUAGAGAAGCUUUCAGGAAUGAUAUUGGAUGUCGAAGACGAGUUCGCACCGGACAUUAACAUGUAAUUUGGUCCCGCGGAUGUGGUGGAAGCCAUGGCGGUCGCGCCUACCGGUAAGGGAUGGUUGUGCGUCCCCUCGUACGUCGUUAUGAGUAUCGACAUGUCCUCGAGGCAUCUUUGUACCUAUACAGCACCAGUGAAAAUGCUUAGGAACGAAAAAUUGGCGCAGUAAGGAAAAUUCAGAAGCAAUAUCAUUGAUUCAUAUAUACCUGUUUUCUGACCGGGCAUCCGGGUGCGACCGUGCAUCGGUAGUACGCUCGCGGACACGGGUUCCCUUUCGCGACCUUCUGACCGUAUUUUCUCCAUUGGCACCCAUCAUUCAUCUACAUAUUUCUCAUAGCAAAAGGAAAAUUGAGAACACAAUAAACACUUGGGAGCAUGAUGAAUUGGGCGAAUGAACUUACAGUAGGACCUUGGCACCUGGCUCUCACUGAAACCCUAGUUUUCCUGUUGGCCGGAUUGAUGCUUUGGCUCGUAAUCCCCGCCAAUUCGGCGGCGGUGGCGGCGGCUUGUAGUUUGUUGCUCUCUAGGGUUAACCAACUACUCGCGAGUUCCUUCAUGGACGAAUCCUUUUCAUGCGGUUCCUCAAAUGUUUGCAAGCUCAGCGACAACCCGAGCUCCUUCGCUUCCUUUGUGUCGCCCCCUCGGUAAUUAGAUAACAACAAUGGUUUUGCUUGCUCUUGAUGAUCACCCUCGAUGGUCUCACGAGCCCUCUUUGGCUCUCGGUUAUCGUCACCGCCGAGAGAAAGGAAUACUCGGGGCUCCUAUUCGAAAAAAAUAUGGAUCCAUAUUAAAAGCGAAGCAACGCAAACAAUUAUUACCAGAUCGUAAGUUGAGUGAAGCUAAUUUGGUUAGUUACUCUUUGUUGAUGAUGAUCAGCUUUUUGCACCGCCGCGAACUUCAUUUGCAGAUCGUAGUAAUCCUUCAUGGUGCGGUCGACGGCCUUCCGCAGCAGCUCGUUCUCUUCCUUCAUUCGAUCCAUCUCGGUUUGCAACAUGCACAACUAUAUAUACCAACAACAACAGCAACUCAAGGUCAAAUAAAUAAACAAAUAAAAGAGAAAGAGAGAGAGAGAGAGAGAAUUGGUAUGAAGAAUCUUAGUACGAUAUAGCUAAACCUCAUUAGAUACAAUAUUAUCAACCAUGGGCUUCUCUUGUUUUGCAUCUUGUCCCACCUCUCUCUUGGUUUCUUUAUCUCCCUCUUUAUUGUUUUCAUCUUCUCUUUUCUCUCCAUCUUCUUCGACUACGUUGUGGUCAUCGUCGUCGCUGCCUUCAUCAUUUUCAUCCGCUUUGAUCUCUUCUUCUUCUUCUUCUUCUUCAUGGUGUUCAUCAUCUCCUCUUCUUUUUUGUUCUUCCUCCAUCUUCAACGAGAGAUCUACUUGCAUUAUCUUGAUCUUCUCCCCUUUCUUCUUCUUUGUUGACAUGAUCUCCCUCUCUCUCUCUCUCUCUCUAUGUCUCUCUCUUCCUUUUGGGGUCUUAAUGGCGCCUCCGAGGCAUCCCCAAGUCAAUGUUCUCGCGUGUAAGACGUAUUAAAGGGGGUUACACAAAUUAACAUUAUAUUAUAUUAUAUAAUAUAAUAAUAAUAUGACAAUAUAAUAGAAAGAGAGAUGAGAGAAAUUAUUGCAUGCAACCAGUGCACCAUGCGCCAUGCACCACGUGCCGCGCCAUGUGUUAUAUUUGAUCACUUAUAAUAUAAAAUCAAAUUUUGAUUCAAUAGAUAUAUAUAAUUUAAACAUAAGCAGAAUGCUCUAGUUUAGCUUCGUUUCUGAUUUAAGGAAGCGACGUACACUAGUUUGGUGUUUGACAGAAAAGAAACAUAACAAAAGAUUCUAAUGGCAAACAAAAAAUAAAAUUUUAGUCCUAUAAAACAUAAGAUGUAAUUUGAAUGAUGUCGUUGGUUACAUAGUACUUCUUCUAAUAAUACUGAUUAAUUAAACAAUAUUUUAUCAAACCAAAUGCUAUGUACUCCAUCAUACAAUUAAUAGGGUCCGAACAUCAUGGAUUGCAUCCAUUCAAUUUUCUUUAAGACUUCGAUGCAGGGUGCAUGGGGGGUGCACCUGAUGCAUGCAAAAAAUUAAAAAGAGAGAGUGAGACGACUAGCUCACUUUUGUUAAUCUGUGUGUUUUAUAAUAAUAAUAAUAAUAAUAAUAAUAAUAAUAAUAAAUUAUUAUUAUUAAUUAAUUAUUAUUUUUGGUUCGAGAUGAAAGGUGAGUGCGCACGAAACUCCGAUCCGGGUGACAGGGACACCCAAGUCAAGUGGGCCUCUUGUUGGUCAUGUGACUCCGCCCCGCGCCUCCCACGCUCACCACUUCAUUUUAAUUUCCAAGGUUUUUCUUUUUUAAAAAAGAAAAUGUAUGGAAACCCUCAACUAUAAUCUAGUAUGAAAUAGAUUUUUUUGUACUCAUAAGUAUGAAAUAGAUUUUUUUUUUUAUACUCAUAAGUUUUUGGCUAUUAGAUAAAGAAAUGUACGGUUAGAAUGAUAAUGAUCCCGUGGGGUCCAGUGAAUAGUAGGUUGAAUAGUGUGAUCCGACGGAUGAAAAUGGUCAAAGGAAAAAGAUUUAACGGUCGAAAAUUUAUGAACAUUAAAAGGUUUAUACUUAUGAGAGUGUAGUAGCCGGACUCAUAUAUAGAAUAGGACUGUUAUACUCUUAUUAGUAUAGAUUUUUUUUUUGUAUUCAUAAGUUUUCGGCCGUUGGAUAAAGAAAUGUGCAGUUAAAAUGAUAAUGAUCCCGUGGAUUCGAGUGGGUGGUUGAUUGAAUAGUAUGAUCCAACGGAUGAAAAUUAUCAAAGGGGAUGAUCUAAUAGCCGAAAAUUUAUGAGUAUUGAAAGGUCUAUACUCAUGGGAGAGUAGUAGCCGGACUCUAUAUAGGUAGGGCUAUUAUACUUUUAUGAGUAUAGAUCAUUUUGUAUCCAUAAGUUUUCGGCCGUUAGAUGAAAGGAUUUGCAGUUGUGGCCCCCGGUUAGAAUGAUAGUGGCUCCCUAGGAUUGAGUUGGUUGGUUGAAUAGUAUGAUCGAACAGGUGGAAAUGAUCAAAGUGCUAGAUCUAACGGCCGAAAACUUAUGAGUACAAAAAAAUUUAUACUCACAAGAGUGUAGUAGUCGGACUGUAUACGGGUAGGGCUAUUAUAUACUCUAAUGACCUAUUUUCAUCCAACUAUCUUACAGCCUAAUAUAUAUGGUAAAAAAAAAGUAUGGAACUUAUCCCAACUACUAUGAGUGACCUAUUUUGAUCCAACUAUCUUACAAUCUAAUAUUUUAAUUUAUUUGAUUUGAGCCAUUUAAUGACUUCUAAAUCUUAAAAUUUGAAUACAUUGUUUAAUUUUAUGGACCUGAUUAGUUUACUUCAUUUAAUUUAAAUAACUACAAUUUCAUAAAAGUAAGUGGCAGGUUUAAAAUUUAUAACCGAAGAAUUAUCGAAUAACUUAUAUCAGACAAAUUGAAAAAUUAAGUAUCAAAAUCAAAGUUAUAAAAGGUUGGAUAGUUGAAUCAGCCCGAAUUAAAGUUUGGGUAGCUCUAUACAUUUUUAUUUAUAUACUUUGGCGAAAAUGUAUGGAACUUAAUUAACUUGGUCUGUUUUGAUUCAAUUAUUCAAUUUUAAGAUUGUAACUUGUGUACCCAAUCUAUUAGUUUAUUUGAUUUAAAAUAUUUGUUGGUUCCUCCAAAUCUAGGCCAAUAUUUUUUUAAUGAAAUUUUGGGUGAAUUACAUAUGCCAAAUAUGCUUAUCAAAAGCAAAAAGUAAAUGGGGCAUUGAAAUUUUGAAAUGUAAAGAUUAUUAAAUAGCCAUAAUCAAAUAUAUUAAAUGGGUAGAUUGCAAACCUAAAUUAUAGUUCGAUUAAAAUAAUUUAUAGUUAUGAUUUUUUUUUUGAGAAAUAAUUUAUAGUUAUGAUAAAUCCCAUUUUUUAUCCUUUUUUCUAUAUAUUGAGACCCUCUCUAUCUUUAUUUUUCUAGAAUUAAAUAAUUGCAGCCAAAUUACUAAAUUAAUUGAUAAUUUCAUCACAUUUUACAUUAUUAGAAUACUUUGUAGGUAAUAAAACUAGAUCAAUUAACUGCUAAAGGUAAUUAAGCAACAAUAGAUCUGAUAAAAACUUAUAUAAAAAUAAAAAAUCAAAGAGUCGAUUUCAAAAUAGCUUAUAAUUGAGUGGUCUUUAUAUACUUUUACAAUUUUGUUUUCUUUGCGGUCACCAGUGGGAUCUCAGGUCAACUCUUUGGAAUUUCUCGGCCUAUUAAUUAAGCUAAUACAUAUAUAAAAAAAUAUUAAAUAUAAAUACACAACCCAAAAGAGAAUGACUGCUAAUAAUAAUAGAGAUUAAAUUUGUUAAUCUCUAUUAUUAUCUUAUUAAUUAAAUUCUAAGCCCAACUGUUUCAUUCGUUUUUCUUUUAAUUUUUUUUUUAAAAAAUAAGCUAGAGCUCCAUUAAUUUAAGAUGGAUACAAAUUGAUUGGUCACCUCUGUUAUUUGGUUGUUAGGGUGGGGAACUCAUUGCCAUGAGAGUUGCAUUCUAAUUAAAAAUCUCUAAGUUAAAUAAUUUUAAAAAAGGUAGUUAAAUUUUGACAUUAGUAUUAAUAUAAAUAGUAAUUAUAAAUGUUGCAUUAAUUGAUUUGUGCUCCACAAAGUUUGGAUGGAACGAUUACAUGUUUUAAAUGGUUGAUUGAUAAAAAAUAAUUAUAGUUGAUUAGCUUAAUUAUGAUAUAUCUGAUCAAAUAAUAGAUAAUAACUUGUUUUUAAAAAAUUAGAAACAAAUAAAAUUUAUUUUUAUUUUUUGUUGCCAAAUAAAUAUUUUGGAUGAAAACAUUAUGAAAAAUCCACUUUUCACUCUUACACCUUUUAAAUAUACAAAAUUCUGUUUAGAAUAAUAAAAAAUAGAUACAGUACCAAGCGAGGCUUUAUAUUAUUAUUUUUAUUAAUUUGCUCAGAAUCUUAUUGCACCUACUUGCCCAAGUAAAUAAUCUAAGUCUUCGUUUACUUUUUUUUUUUUUUAACAAAACAAAAAUGAAGCUAAACCAAUCACAAAUGAGAGGGCCAUUUGGUUGACUUGCCAUGCACAGCGGUUGAAGGCUACUGGUUUGGAACUACGACGGCAAUCCUGAAUCAUCAAACCAAAUUAAUGACUAUUUGUGUAAAUUCGCAGCAUAUAAAAAAUUAAACUACUGACCUCUGACUCCGAUAUCACUUAUCGGAUCGUUGACGCUAAUCAUUAAUCGAACUCGUGAUCUCUGAUUCUGAUAUCAUUUGUCAGAUCGCUGGCGCUAACUAUUAAUUUCAAAAGUUCGAACAGUUAGAAAUAUGCAACCAAAUCAUUCAAAAUAUACAGAUGCAACGCUUCGACUCGGCCCAACCAGCCUCACGCCACUUCAAACGUGACUCAACCCAAUCCACCCUCCCGUCAUUUCGAACGUGACUUGAUUUAACUUGACCUGCUGUUGCAGAACAAAAUGCAAACACUUAUCUGUUAGCUUAAAUGGGCCAGCAUCCUGCUCUAUAGCGUAAGGCCAUGUUGAGCCGAGUCAUGUUCGAAAUGGCGUGAGCUUGGGUGGGCCAGCCAUGUUCGAAGUGGCGUGAAGCUGGUUAGGUCGAGUCACAAUCAAGACAUGUGGAUACUGUAUCUGUAUGUUUUAAGUAAAUUGAUUGUGUAUUUUUAACCGCUCGAAUUUUUGGGAUAAAUAAUUAGCGCCAACGAUCCGACAUUAUCCUCUCUUAUAGCCAUUAAACACAGUCAACUGGUGUUUAGACUUCAUAGAAUAACAGCUAAGCUGUCACUUGGGGGGUGGCCAAGGAAGUGGAUUUUGAGAAAUUUAAGUUAAAUAAAUAAAUAAUUUGGUAUCUUCUCGGAACAGUGAAGAGCUCAGUACGAAAUCCCAAGACAUGGCUUUGGGAUUGGCCCCUGUGGACUUUACUAAAUAAUAAUAGCAGGAGACCUGUACCUACCAUCCUAUUGGUCUAUUUUUUAAUUAUACUUACAUUUCAAUUACAAUAUUAAUGAAUGAGUGAUAUGUUAUAUUUAUAAGUAAAUUUUAUAGCACUUUAUAAAUUAGUAUGUGUGGUGGUAUUUAAUUGGUGGAGCAAUCUAAAUUAUAAGAAGAUAAACAUGACUUGUAUUUUCAAGAUGAUUAAACUUCAACCGUUGAGCUGUGCAAUUUAUAAGCUGUUGUGAAAUAUGUUCAUCAAUUCAAAUCGAACGCUUUAAAGUGAUUUAUCAUUUUAUUUUACCGUUAAUUGUGUAUAGACUCUAUGAUCGGAUAACAUUACUUUUCAGUAUUACUCUUUUUUAUUCUUAUAUUAGAAGCAGAUCACAUUAACUGCAUUGAGAAUAUUCGAGUUCUAUUUGUUCUCGCAAGUGAUAACACGUCACUAUAAUUUCUCUGAUUUCAUCAGUAAAUAAGAAGGCAAAUUUGUAUAUACUUUUGUCUUAACUUCCUUUGAUCCAAUAGAAUUAGACGGUCUUCGAUAUACCAAAUAAACUCUAAGCUGUUUUUGACACAAAACGUUGUAACGACACAUUCAUUACACCAUUUGUACCCGAUCUUUAUCCAAUUUUUACAUUUCACAAUUGGUUUCUUAAUGUUCAAUUAAGAAGAAAAAAAAAUUUAACAUGUUCUGACAAGGUUUAAUGGUGAAAGAACAAAAAUAAUUCAGUAUUGAUGUGAUAUCAGAAGAGAUCUGAUGAAGUAAUGUGCAAAUAUUAAGGAUCCAAUUACAAAAAAAGAAAAGUUUAGUGAUUAAUGGUGUAAUUAAUCUUAUAAAGAAACCACCCACCAUCCACAAGGACAAUUAGAUUAGCCCUUACUUGGGAGCACCUUAUACUUAUUUUAAUGAGCCUAUUUAUAGUAUCUCCUACACUGGCACGAAUAUUAAUGUAACAGAAGCCAAUCAGUGUUCUUUCGAGGUGCUUUUUUAUUGGUAUUUUUCGAAAUGGCUCUGAAUCCUAUAGAAAAAAAAAAAAGAGAAAAAAACAAAGUUCAAUUUGAGAGGGAGUUUAUAAACUCUCUUCUCGGGGAGAUGGAAUUUGUGGGUUUUAUUUCGGAUUUUGGAUCCUGUUAUGCUAAUUAUAACUCCCACGAGCUAAGGAAUGAGAGUGUUGAGUAUUUAAAUGUAGGAUUAAUAGUAAAUUCGCUUCAAGGAGUUUGACCCGGAAUUUAAUUUUGUCUUCAAGAGUUUCUUUUUGGGGGUGACCAUAAUUUUAAUUUCAUUAUCGAGAGGGCUUUAAUCUCAGUCCAAAAACUGGUUUUGGUAUCAGUUUCAUUAGUUGUCGAAAUUUCAACACAAACGAGGAUUAGAAAUUAAGUUUGAUGAUUGCGACUACAUAGAAUUUCUUUAGACGGCGAAUAAACUUUAGAAUUAAAAGAUUCAAACCAUAAAAAAUCAUGGAUUGAGUAGUGAGAAUAAAAUUUGAUCAAAACGACUCCAACGAAGGUAUUCGGAUUGGCGGGGUAGCGAUUGACGCACUCCAAAUACUCACCGAUAAGACCUAAGUCUAAAGAAACUAAUCAGGAAAUAAAAGAGACGCGCCAAAAACUCGAAACCACAUUGAAGAUGAGGUUGAAAUCCGAAAACUCGGGAGCCAAUUAAUAUUUUGAAUUUCCGAAUUCAAACACGGAGAUUAUUCGCAAGCUCGGGAGGAAUUCUCGAAAACUUAAAAGUAAGGGAGGAAAAUAGUUGAGAUGAUUAACUUAACUUGUGAUUUACUACUAGAAUAAGAAGGGCUAAUUGGACCUUAUCGGUUCGAUAAUCGUCAGAUUUCGAGAAUCGAUGCAGAUUAGUUAUGUUAUCUAGGAGGUAACCCACUUGAUCUAUCCAUAAUGCAUUUAAUUUAAUAGGGUUUAGGGUGGUUUGACUCUUGUUUAACCCAUCAUUGAGGGAUCAAACCUCUAAUAUAUCUAUUUAAAGAUGAACCUGACGUGAUAUGGCAUUAAAUCCCACGUUACAUUAUGUUGUAACCAGCACAUUAACCCAUGUAAUAAUUUACAAAUAAGGGGGAAUCAUUGACUCAUUAGCCAAGUAAGGAAUAUGCUUAACUGGUAUAGUGGGAGCUAUUUUUAUCAUGCACAGGUAACUAAAAUGUAAUCAAAUAGCAUAGUUAGCUAAGGAUUUGAUAUUUGAUAUCUGAGAUUCCAAAUUCGAAAUCUAAUUUGCUACAUUUCUUUCUAGUCAAACUAACAGGCCAGAGAUGCCUAGGUUUCCAGAAGGCGUAACUCUCUCAUCUGACGUCCAUUUCGACAGGCCAAGUGGUUUGAAAAUGUAGUGCCUAACAGUCUUUUGCUUAAGUUUCAAGCUCAAGUACCAAUUUUCUUCUUCUUCGACAAGUUCCUUUCAUCUUAUCGGAAGUAUAUGGUAAUUUACUAUUCAGACAAUACCUCAGCAAAUUCAGUCCAAGUUACCGACUUAUUAGUUGGGAUGAUCGUUUCUGUGGUCGAAUCUGACCUGACCCAGUUCAUCAGAUUGUCUCAAUUUUUGAUCUAUGAAAAUUCUGGCUCGACUCAAAUUGACCUAAGCAUGAUCUGGUUAUUUUUGACCUGGCCCUCACUUAGAGAAACAUGUAGAACAUUUUUGACCGUUGUACUUUUGGGCCUGGAAAAAGUAAACCGACUCCAAAACAGACUCAGCCAUACUCUCUAGUUUCUUCUAGAUCUCUUCCGAACUAGAUCAGACUAGUUUUAAUAUCGAUGCUACAUAAAAAAAAAUUAUUUUUUACAGAUAAUUUGUUUCAUGAUUUGUAAUAUUUUAAGAUUCCGCCGAUCUCCGUCUACUUCUCCUAGUCUUUUCUCUCUGGUUGAAGUGGCGUCCGACCCAUUAUGAUUGCUCUUUUUUUUGUUUAUUUCUAUAUGACUAUGUAAUUUGAUCGGGCACUGGCUCUACUUCUUUUCUUUUUCUCUUCUUCGGUCAUGUAUCUGGUUUCAAAUAGGAUAUAUAUUCCUGUUUAAUUAAAAAACAAAAAGAUUCCUUCGAUCUCUGUGUCUGCGUGAUAUGGUUCUUUUCUUUAUAACUUAUCCAAUCGGUGGAAUCGAAAAACCAUAGGUUCGAAUCAGUAAUCCAUUAGCAACUGGUUAGGCUCAAAUCACUGGCCCAUUACGUAUUUGUCUAAAUUUUAUUUACCUAUUGAUUUUGUAAGAGUUGUUAUGUAAAUUUGGAAUGUAAAUAGAAUAAGGGAGAAUAACAUAAGAAGUUUGGUAAGUGUAGGAAGCAAUAUGUUUAUAUGUAAAAUCAAGAACUUAUAAUUCAUCGGAAGAACAUUUUCUUUUUAAUCUUCAGUAGCUUAAUCUUUUAGGAAAAAAAAAAAUCCUUUUUAUAUUAUAGAGGAGGUCACGAGUUCAAAUUCUACCAUGUAUCUAAAAAUGAAAAAAGUUGUUUUCCUGUAAUGUAAAGGUGUCAACGAGCCAAACACGAGCGAACUGGGGUCGGCUAGCGCUCGGCUCAUUUAUAAAAAAAGUCGAAUACGAGUUGAUUCGUCAAAAUAUCGAGCCGAAAAAUUCAGUUCGUAUUCAUUUCGUUUAUUAACGAGCCGAACACGAACUCGUCAAUGAACAAUAAGUUAAAAAAAUUAAAAAUGAUAUAUAUAGCAGAACUAGGCUGGAAUAUUAUCAAUAGCACCAAACUAUUGAUGCUAUUAAUUUUUUAAUCCUUAAAUUGAGAAAUGUGUGGUUAGGAUGAUAUGGGCUCUCUAGGAUUGAGUGAGGGGGUUGGUUGAAUAGUAUAAUUUAACGGGUAAAAAUAAUUAAAGAGUUAAAACUAAUGGUGGAAAACUCGAUAGCACCAAAUUCUUGGUGCUAUCGAUAGUAUUUCAGCCGGACUCUAUAUAGCAAAUAAAUCUUUUAAAUCUUACUUAUUAGAUUUUGAUAUAAGUGCUGAAGCUUUACAUAUAAAUGAGUUUUUUAUAAUUGAGUUGAAUUUUAUAUUUAGUUUAUGCUAAAAAUCAAAUAAUAAAAAUUUACAUUAUAUAUAUAAUUAUUUAUUUAUAUGUAUAUAUAUAUAAUAUAUAAAUUAUAUAAAUAUAAAAAAUAUCUAUUUGAGCUGUUAUCGAGUCGAAUACGAGCGCGCUGACCCCAGCUUAUGUUCGGCUCGUUUAUUAAAUGAUCUAAAAAAUUCGGUUUGUGUUCGGCUCGUUUAGUAAACGAGUUGAAAAAUUUAGCUCAUGUUCGGCUCGUUUACUAAACGAGCGAUUCGAUCUCGAGCUCACUUCGAACCGAACACGAGCUGGCUUACGAACAGCAAGCUAGAUUGCCACCUCUAGUUUCAUGCUAUCCACUAAUUUUAGUUAAAAUUUAUUAUUUUGACAAAUAAUAUCAUUUGCCCAAUACUAAGGCUCUGUGUACAAUUGAGGAUACAAUAUACUAUGUAAUAAUUUCUCAAAAAAAAAUAUACUAUGUAAUGCGAGAAUUUAUUUAAAAAAAUUUGUGUGUUAAAUCCUGUGUGCAAGAAUUUUAAAAAAGAAUUCCGUGUGUUUAUAAUACAAAUAAUAGAAAUUUGUAAUACAAGCACACACACAUACACGAGCUAUAUCGAACCAAGUAUGAGAGCUGGUUCUAGCCCACGUUCGGCUAGUAAAAAAUUUGAGCUGAACAAUUUAGCCCGUGUGUUAAAUGAGCACUCGAGCUCGAGCACCUGUCGAGCCGAAUACGAGCCGGCUCCCGAGCAACGAGCUGGAUUGUCAACCCUAAUGGUAUCAGACAAAAUAAAGUUAGGAUGAAAGUAUAAAAAAAUUAUGUUUUUUCAUUCUUCGUUGUGAGUUGCAACUUGUGACUGCAAAAUAAUAUAGUGUAUGGACCCAUAUUUGUUUUGGGCCCACAAUUCUCCCCGGUCCAUUAUAAGCAAUUGGGCCAUUUGUGUGACAAACCAUGUGGGCCAAAUUGCAAAACCAAGGCCCAAACGCCACGCCCCACGUUUCAAGCGUCUCCGAAUCCACCCGUCCAUUCCCAUCCAAACGAUCGCCUUCAACGGCCGAGAUCGCCUCCGAGGUGCGCUAGUUUUCUUCUGGAGGGAGUUAUGCGCUCGUACAAUUUAACGAGCCUACACUUUCCCCCACAGGGCUUUUCCAAAGGCCAUAAAAAUUAAAAAAGCAAAAAAAAAAGAAAGAAGAAAAAACAGCAAAGAUAGAGAAAUAUAGAGAGAGAGAGAGAGAGAGAGCCCACACAGCAAAUCUUUGAGCAGAGCCCCUUCCUCCUCCUCUUUCCGUUUAAAGAUGUUAUUCGGUUUUUAAUUCGAAUAAUUUCCUCCUUAUUCCUCGUCCUAGUACUCCCACCGUUACGCCAUAUAUAUAAAUAAAAAAUAUAUAAUAUUUACAUAUAUCUUUUGCUUUGCUUAAUACAUAAGAGAGAAAUAUUAGAGACAACGCCAAAGAUAAAUCCCUUAUUCUCGCGCCGCCGCGGUUUCCCGUAUAAAUCCCCGGAAUAAGAAGCGAGGAUAACUCCGUAGAAUAGAGAGUCUUAUAUUCUUAUUAUUCCGACCAUCUCUUCCUUAUAUAGAUUUAUUGAUUAGAGAAGUUUUUUUUUUUUAAUUUUCUUUUUUUGUUUUUCUAAUUUCUAAAACGAUACCGCUCCUAACACGAAGCGGAUACGAGGUUUUAUUCUAGAGGUUUCCUUCGCUAGGGUUUUCUGAUUAGGGUUUCGCGUUUUCGCUCGCGUCGUCGUCUUCUCCUUCCUCGCUCUGCGCCUCCGUCGUGUUUGCUUGUUAUUGUGCGGGAUUCUCCUCUCCUGCGGAAUCGUUGAGGAAUUGGGGGAUUUUGAGGGGGGGUUCUUGGGCUUUUUACUCUUCUUGGUCCGCGUGGCCAACAAUGGAUGCGUAGAGAGGUUGAAUUGAUCGUCUGAUUGGUGGAGGAGAAUACCUAAUUGAUCUUUUUGGGGGAAUUUUGGUGCAUUAUAUAGGGUUCCUUGCGGGAGAGUAGGAAUUGGAGCUAUUGCAUUUGCGAGCCCCUCGGGGGCGGUUCGAUCCCUGCUUCGGGGAUCGCCUUGUGAUGAUUUUCGCGCGCUUCGUCCUUGGAUUGUUGCUUUUGUACAGGAAAUAGUAUUCGGGGUUGAUUAGGUUAUUAUAGAGGGAGAUUAGUUUCGAGGAGGAGCGAGGAACAGUAGUUGUACCUAGAUGGUGAUCUCUGUUCAUUAUGGAGAAAACUGAACUGGCAUUCAAGCCAGAGUGGCUAAAAUCGUCGAAUGCGAGUGCGGCUAACAAUGCCUCUGCAAACCAUCAUUCCACUAUUUCCUCACAUUCAGGUAUGAUUUCCGUUUCUCGCACUCGUAUGUUAAUUUUCCUCAGUGUUGCUAGUCUUAUACUUAUCUUGGUCGUAUAUAGUUUAAAGUAGAGCUUUUUAUUCUUGUAGAUGAACAUGCUGUAGCAAACUCCUCUAGGAACAGGUUGUCGGUAUUUGACCGGGAAAGAAAUUCGUCAUCCUCCUCUCGGAGGAGUUCAAGCUCGAACUUUUCUAGGAGUCUUGAUAAAGAUACAUCAGGAAAAUCACGUGCUUACAGUAGUUUUGGUAGGAGUAGUCGAGAAAGAGAACGGAAUAAAGAUAGAGAAAGUAGGCCAGUUUUGGUCGACAAUGGGUAUCAUGACCGUUCCAAUUCAUUCAUCACAAGUAGGUCUGAAAGGGAGAGAUCUUCAAGCUCUAUGGCAGCAGGGAGGCCAGUUGAUUCAUUGUAUAAUGGAUUAGGACAAAACUCGGCAAAUGGUGUACAAUCUGGGGGGAAUAUAACUGGGGCCCGCUCCUUCGAGAAGGAUUUUCCGUCCCUUGGAACUAAGGAGAAGAAUGGGUGUCCAGAUGUAGUGGGCAGGGUUCCUUCGCCUGGCAUUAGCGAUGCUAUUAGAAAGAUUUAUUCAGGUAAUGGAGCCCUAGCUGCGGCUGAGAACUGGAAUUCUGUGUUGGUGAACACACCGCAAGCUUCUCCGGACAGUCAGGCUCCUGCAAUCUUGAGCACUCCAACGGGAUUAAAUAUGGCUGAAACAGUGGCACAAGCUCCAUUACGAGAUCGAACUGCGCCCCAGGUAGUCUUUUGAUUGUAGUAUACUGCCUUCUUUCUUGUUUCUGAGUUACUUAUGCAGUCUCAUUUGCUUUUUGUUUGUUCAUGCCGUACUGUUGUUCUUUUCAGUUAACUAUUGAUACCCAGAGGAUUGAUGAACUGACGCUUAAACAAUGCAAGCAGUUAAUACCUGUAACACCUUCGACACCUAAAAGUUUGGUAGGUUCCUUAUCUUCUGUACAUUUGAGAUAAUUUCCUCCUAUGAUUCUUUUAUUAUCCUCUUUUGAUUGUUAUUAUGCAUCUGUUUCUUAAGUUUAAACAAUAUUUCCACAUUGUUUUUUUGUAGAGAAUUUCUAUUAGAUUAAUUGAUGACUUCAUAUAACUUCUUUUCGUGGACAUUUACAAAUCAUAAAUUUUGCAUAAAAUCUUCCGUGAAUGUCCACUAAAUUGUUGAGCUAAGAAUGUUAUGCGUGUUUGUUUUCUUGCUGAUAAAAUGAUUCUUAGAAGUUUUUGCCUUCUACUCAUUAAUUAGACUGAUAGCAUGAUGAAAGUUGACAUUUAGAUUGACCACAGUAAGAGAUCUUUAGGUAACCAGGCUGGAGCUUAUAUAGAACUUGACUAGACCCCAAAUAAGCACUGAUUACUUUUUUCAGCUAAGUUCUCCUUGUGCCUUUCUGCAGCAGUCGAAGGAGAAAAUUUGAGUUGGUAAUUGUUCUCUUGAGACUUAAAAGCUCAUUUCAGCUUCUUGCCAAAGCAUAAUGUUUAGAUUAUUAUUAUUAUUAUUCGGUUGCCAAUUGUCAACAGUUACUUUUUGGAGUAGAGAAGUUGCUAGAGAGGCUAAGCUAAAAAGACACUAAAUUAUUCAACAUGAUGGCAACUAAAACACUUUAUUGAUGAUAGCAAACUGUUAGGUUCAUUGAUUUAAAGGAUCAUUCACACAAAAAAAGGAAGUCUCAAACUCUAAUUUCUUAUCAUUAAACAAAAUUGGCAGUUGACUAUACAUUAUCUAUGGUCUGUAUGCAAGUUGCUUAUCUGUCCGUAUUGUGAAAAUGCUCCUAGUGCCUAUGCUUGGAGGCGGAUGAGUCGAAAAAAUAGUUAUAUAACAUGGAUAGGGAUUCUAGUUGCAAUUUAGAACAAUAGCCAUGAAACUUACACAAUUAGGUUUUGUAGUUGAUCAUCAAUUAGUCAUGCAUUAGCGAGGCAGAGCACGAGCAGUGGGAGUUACAUAAUUGGAUCUCUAUAGCAUCUUUGCAAUUUAUCGUGUGUUAAGAAGAAUUUAGACGAAAAACAGUGAUUGGUGCAUUGUGUAUAGAUUAUGCACAGAACUCAUAUUGAUGGUUCAAAGAUUGUUCCUGCCUCAACAGUGGCUCUUAACAUUUUUGUUUGCCAAGCAUUCUACUAUAUAUGGUCGCAGAUAUCAGAAGAAGCAGGGCCAAAUAAACAUUUACAAGGAUUUAAAGCUAUUGUAGUGGCCACAUGCGUACAGAGUAUUUUGGACUUGUGUUGUACAUACAAAACAAGAAAUGAACAAACAGUACAGGUACUUGUGUGUGUCAUUGUACGUACGUUGUGCCUUGUAGUGGGUAGAGCAUAAUGUACGGAACAUGCUGUGUGCUGAUCACAAUUAGCACAUGUUCUCCAGGCGGCGGUUUAAACCUUAGUAGAGGUUUAUAGGUACUGAUUUUUUUUUUGGCUAGGAGCAGUGAAAUGGCCGGAGCCCCACUAAAUGCUAAACAAUCUACCAAUGCUGCAAGUUCAGUUGGUGCAUGAUUUGUUGUAUCGAAAUCUCUCUAUUUGUCUGUUGUCUUUUCAGUAACUGAGUGAGGACGUCUUUACCUUUGUAUCCACCUAAUUAGCUUGGCGUAAAUAAGUACGACCAAGUCAUUUUUAGGGAGCUGACUGAAUCUGGUAUUUACGUUUAAAAGAUUGGACUCACGCCAUCAUCAUGUACUGGUUCCACCAUGGUAUAUGACUGAGUUAAGCAUUGGAUGUGGGUUGAGAUCCUCAUGAUAAUUAUUUUCUUUUUCGAUUGUCAUUUCGAGUGCAAUAAGCACUGGCCAAUCAUAAGCCUUGGUUUAAGUCAUAACCAUCAUCCUUAUCCAUGUUAUUUCUCGGUAUAGAGUGCAACCCAAAGAUAAGAAGGUUCAAAAAAGUGAUGGUUGACUGUUACAACCAUCUAACUGAUAUUAAUCCUCUAAGUAGGAGUCCAUUUUCUUGCCGUAGCAAAAUCAGACAAGGGAGGAGCUUGUCAAUGUAUUUGGCGAUGAGCAACUGGCAAACUUGGUUGCAGUUGAAACUCAUGCAACUCAACAUUUCUAAGUUCUUUAAACAUGGUAUAGAAAAGGAUAAGAUAAUAACAAUUUAUCUGGGGAUUUGUCUUCAUUUCAAGUGUAGGUUAGAUUAGCUGAAAAUCUAAAUGCAAAUAUAAAAGUUGAAUUGAAGAAUAGCCUACAGAAUGUUAGAAUCCCUACUUCGAAUUCCCUACUUUACAUUCAAUUUUCAUUGCGUGCGACUUAGGUGUUUCUUUUGUGACAUAGUUUCUGUGAACCCAUUGAAAACUUGAGUUGAAAGUUGGGAACUCAAUUAUUUUGUUUUAACAGCACUUGUUGUUAGGGAGUCUGCUUAUUGAAUUUUUGGUUCUGUAGGCUGCAGGCUGUGGAAGUUACCUGGUAACUUAUGUUUUUGAUCCACCGUUACCUUCUGGCAUCCUUUCUUAUUUUAGCUGAUAAAAAGAAAAUUUUUUAUAUAUAUUCUAAAAUAUGUUUAAGCUGGAUUAUGAAGUUUAAUAACUUAGUCCUGUGGAAGCAGAUACAGAUAAUUGAAUCUUUUUUUAAGUACCUGUAUUUUGGAUUUUACUUUUUUGUUCCAUGUUUCAACUAAAUCUUAACUUGAUCAUGUACUAUUAUUGGUAGAAAGCUCAUUAGUUGUUGAAUAGUUGUAAUUAGUGCAAACUGGGAAAAGUUUCUUCUUGAUUUGCUACUUCAUCAUGUUCUUAAUCUUUUUUUCUUUUUCUUUUUCUUUUUGUGAAGAGAAAAUGAUUUAUUUACUAUAAUCUUUCUAAUGAAGCUUCUUGAACAUGGCUCAGUUGUCAAGCUCUUCGGAAAAGUUGAAGAACAAAGGAGCAAGAGGUGGAGAGUCAAGUGGCGCUCCUAAAAUUGGGCGGCAGUUAUCACCUCCUCCUCUCAACCCUGCCCUCCUGCAUGUUAGGUCUGAUACUACAAAGCCGUCCCAAAUUGGGACUUUUCAAGUCCUCAACCGAGAUAAGAAUAAUGAUACCUCCCUUUCAACCAAAGAUGGGCCAACUGUUAGCAAAGUUGUGAAUGUCAGUAGUCUUUCUCCGUCCGCUUCCCAUCUCUCGCUGAAGAGUCCCACUAACCAAAAACCUAAGGUUGAAAGCAAGAAUGAGAAGAGAUUGCAUUCUCAAGCGAAGGAUAGGCAUGAAUUCUUCAAUUUCAUACGCAAUAAAUCACUGAAUAGUUCGAGUGCUACUCCGGAACAAGGCCCUGUUUCACCCUCAUCCAGUGUAGUGGAUUCGAGCGACCAGAGUGAAUUUGGUGUUACUAAUGAAAAGGAGGGCAUCUUGUCCGAUUCGGAGUUGAAGUGCUCAGAGAAUGGGAAUUGUGUUAAAGAAGAUAAAGAGGCUUGUGAGGAAUUCGAGAGUCCACUACCUGACAACGAAGAAGUUUCGGAACCUGUUGACCCAGAGGAAGAAGCCUUCCUGCGGUCACUUGGCUGGGAUGAGAAUGCAGUGGUGGAUGCCCUGACAAAGGAAGAGAUUGAUGCUUUUAAUAUGAUGGUAAUUAAUUUCUGUGUUAGGGCCUGUUUGUGUUAUAAAAUUAGAUCCAUCCAAAGAAGCAGAAAACAAUUUUUGUUAAUUUUCUUGACAAGUCCCAUUGCAGCAGAAGCAAAAGCAGAAGCAAAAGCUGAAGCUUCUGCUUUUAAGGUUUAAAAACUCAUUUCGACUUUGUGUCUAAAUAAAGCUUCAAACUCUUUGUCUGCAAAGAGCUUGGUUUCUAGAAGCUUCUGCUUUCUGAAGCACAGGAGCUUCUCCAGAAUUGAGGCUGAAACAGGCAUCUGGCUGAUUUACUGAGUAAACUAUUUCGCUGUACUACUACUAUGUUUGCAUGACUAUCAUUUUUCAUCCUUUGUACAGUACAAGGAGCGGAAGCAAUCCUCGAAGCUGCUCCAGAUGAAGAUUUGAUCAUCGAAGGAAGCGACGGCGGGAACUUUGGCAGGCAAUAUAAUUUGAUUUUGACGACACUGUUGAUUGAGCACAUCUGUUUCUGAACCUGGAGCAUGAGUUUUUGCUUUAUCUUCUCUGUUUUCAGGGCUUAGAAAUCAUUUAGUUUGACUAGGCAAGUGUUCUUCGGUCGAGAACAGAAGUGAUUUAACAUUCUUGCUAAGCUGAAAGAAAAGAAAAAGUUUGAGUUCUUUUUUUUUUUUCUUUUUUCUUUUCUCCCUCUCUCUCUCUCUCUCUCUCUCUCUCUCUCUCUUCUCCAGAGGAAUGUGAAAUUCAAAUUAGUUACAAGUUUUCCGGGCCAUAGGCCGUUGGUCUAAGAAAUUGUGUUCUCUGGGAAAUCUGGGUGUUUCUUUUCCUUUUUUCAUAACCAUCCGGGAUUAAUCCUCGAUUGAUCCUACCGACCCGCUUCGGUUCAUGACGACAGUUUUAAGAUAUAAAAAAGAUUGGAAGCCAAGUUGUACAAUUUUCGAUUGUGUCAGCAUGUAUGUGCCAACUGGAAAGUUGAAUUUGAUAACAACCUAUUAUGGUUUGGAUCACGUCCACUUCAGAGUGGGGAAUUGCAUUACAUUUACGUACAAUAUCUGCCUUUUGAAGUCCCUACACAAAUCAAAAAAAGAAAAGAAAAGAAAGAAUAUGCUAGACAUACACUCUCAUCUUAAAAUUCACGCACCCUUGAAUUUCUAAUAUUAAAAAAAAUGAUAAAAGAGUGAAAGAUUUAUACUCCAAAAUAAAAUGUAAAAAUAGUGUUGUUCAAAAAAAGAAAAAAAUCUUUACUUCAGAAGUUACGAAACGAAUCCUGCAUCUGCAAGAUACUUCAGAGAAUUCGCCUUAAAAAAAAAAAAAAAAAAAAAAAAAAAAAAAAAAAGGGUGUUCCCUUUCUUGGGCCGAUGGAUCUAUAAGGGCCCAAGGCCCAAAUUCCAAACUCUUUGAAGCGACGUGUUCUCUCUCUCGUAACACCCAACAUAGUGCGGCGUCUUCCGAAUUUCAUUUCGAAAAUAAGAAACCGCACCUAAAAUUCGGGGGCUCGUCGCUGAGCGGGAAAAUAAGAAACCAAAUCCAAUCCCCAGCAGAUCCCGCAUCCGGCCGAAUCGGAGCGAUGCGCGGCGUCGGCGGUCGGCGGCGCGUCCCGAGGGCUUCGGCUGCUCCCGCUCCGGCGGACGGCGGCCCGUCCCUCGACUUCGAGGUCGGCGGCGCCGUCGGGCGGCGCGACUCGGAUGCGAGCAGCCUCUGCAGCAGCCGGCCCUCCUUCUCAUCCGCGGCGGCCGCCAACCCUCCUCUGCUGUCGGACCGCUCGUCGCAGUCCGCCGCCCUCCGUGCCGUGAACUCGUACCUGUCCUCCCAGUCCGCCCCCUUCUCCCUCCGGCCGCCUCUCCCCUCCGCCCGCGACAUCUCCGACGNNNNNNNNNNNNNCCCGCCUCGACUUCCCCCUCCCCGACGCCCCCGGCAGCAGCAGGGCCCUCGACGACGACGUCCUCCUCCUCCUCCGCCUCCUCGGCUGCCCCUUCAAGCUCAGCCGCUCCGCCCUCAAGGCCCCCGGCACCCCCCACUCCUGGCCCCCUCUCCUCUCCGCCCUCCUCUGGCUCACCCAGCUCGCCCGCCUCUCCGACCACCUCUCCCAAACCCCCAACAACUAUGCUCCCUCCUCCUCCUCCUCCUCCUCCUCCUCCCCCAACAACUUCCUCCUCUUCGUCGCCCACAGCUACUCCCUCUUCCUCCUCGGCGACGACGACGCCGCCGCCGACCUCGACGACGAGUACAGGGCCAAGACCCGCGCCCACGUCGCCGCCGCCGCCGCCGCCGCCAACGCCCUCGAGCGCGAGGCCGCCGACCUCGACGCCAGGCUGCGCGCUCUCUCCGCCGGCCCCUCCCGCCGCCAGGCCGCCGAGGCCGAGCGCGCCCUGCUCGCCGAGGACGCCGAGAAGUUCCGCGCCGUCGUCGACAGCUGGGGCGGCAAGGUCGCCGCGCUGGAGGCCGCGCUGGCCGACUGGGAGAAGGAGCUUGAGGCCAAGGAGAGGGAGGGCGGGAGGAUCGCCGGGGAGAACGCCGAGCUCAGGCGGCGCGUCGACGCGCAGGCAGUGAACGUGCGCGACGUGGAGCGGAUGCGGCGGGAGCUGCAGGCCGUCGAGCAGGACGUCGCGGAGGCCGAGAGCAGGAGGAACGCGUUGGAGGAGAAGGCGUGGGAGCUCGAGGCGAGCUCGGCACGCAAGAUGGGCGAGCUCGAGGUUCUCGCCGAGGAGUGCAAUCAGGCGCUCAGAAAGUAAAAUGCUCUGCUUCGAUUCUUCUCUUCGUAAAAGUUCUUAUUUUUGUGCAUUAUGCAUAGCUUCGAUCGACACUACUUGCCUUGCGUAAAUUCGUUCUAUGCAAUGAUUAUUAGAAAAACAAGAAAUAAUUGGAAAACAAAAAUAGCUUUUAGUACCCUAAUUAGUAUCAACUUUGUUUUGCCUUCCAAAACUUUAGCGCUCAACUCUUUGUACAAUUUGACGACAAAGCUGUGUCAUUGAAAGAAGAAGAUUGGGGUUUUUAGUUUUCAUUCAGGUGAAUAAUUUCGACAAAGGAUUAAAUGGUAAGUCUUUGUGUGUCCAACAUGGUAGAGCAAGGAGAAAGAGAUGUCAUGUGAGUAUGUGACAGUAAGAUUUUGAAAUGAAAACUUCAGGAAUGAGCCAAAAGGAUUCAAGGAUAGUAGUAGAAUCAUAGUAGAAUAAAGGGAAAAAGAUAAACACUGGGCAGUUUGGUUCUAAAUGUAAUUUUGUAUAGGUAGACGAGGGAAAUUUAAUAGAUUCUGGGAUUCUCGAACUUAUAACGUGGCAAAUUUGCGUCUGCGAAUUACAAGGAAGAUUUUAUAGUAGGCAUCAUGGUUGUAUUGCUUGUUAUUGAGAAUUAGAAGUAAAGAGCCUUAAUCAAUUAGAGAAAUAGUUGUAUAAAGAUUAAAAUUAAAAUGGGAAUCAAGUUUGAUGGAGAAAACACAAAGCUGAACAACUGAGCGUAUUGACUAGAAAGAACUUAUGAUGUUUGUGGUUAAAAGCACGUGCAGUGUUUGCGGUUGCAUGGGUGCGAAAGCAUGCUGUUGUAAGCAAUACAUUUGUUUGGGUUCUGAACACAUGGGAACUGUCUUCUUUUCAAAUGUGCACUAGAGUACAUUUUUGGCCAAAUAUGUGUUUGGCCAGCACAAAUAGCCAAAGGUAGUGUUAUGUUCACUUAUUCAGAGCCAAAGGUAUCUCUGUAUAUCUACGAAGAUGAGGAUCUUUCUGGAAGUCAUUGCAAAAUUAUUGUGGCUGAUGACUUGUGACUGAAGAUUUCAGAACAUUGGAGCCUUCCAUCGGAGAAACUCACUUACAUAGCUUUGAUUAUGAUUUCAUGGGAUUUCGGCAUAGUAUAGCCAUAAAACCAUCGAGGUGUGGAUUAUAAGAUGUCUCAGUUAAAUUGCAAUGCGCUUGUUUGACAGUUAGCAAUGUGUGUGCUUAAUUUGUUGUGUAGGAAGUUUGACCUAUUGCCCAUAUAAUUUUUCAGGUUAAAACUUGGAGUCGAUUUUCAAUAUGUGCUGAACGCUAAAGGAUCAUCUCCAGCUGAAGUAAUAGGCAUUAACUACAAAACAGUCCUGAAACCUGCACUCUCUGCUCUUGCUGAAGAUACAAAGAAGUUAUCUGUUUCAAAGCUCGAAGAAUCUAUAGCUCGACAGCAACAGUCACGGGAGAAUACUAAAAUUUUAGAGGAGAAGAAGGUUCGACUUGCAGCUCUUCAAUCCAAAAUUGACGAGGUGGGUCACUUGUCUUUCAGUUCUAUAUCAGCUUGUACUCUCUGCUAUAUUUUUUAUUGCAGAAAAGUGGGAGCAUUGGUAAUCACAAAACUGCUGUUAUGGUUAUGGGUUUGAUUGAUAAGUCAAAAAUGUGCCGAGAGUGUCUUCCUCAAAAAUGUACUUACAUCCUACUGCUGCCUACAGAAUUAUUACAAAUAUAUAGGAAUACUCCAACUCAAUGAUAUAUGUCAGUCAAUGUUGAAUGCAUUUAGCUACCUUCAUAGAAAAGAUGGUUCUUUUGUAUCAUACAUGCUGGAAAUGGAUCAUGGAAAUUUUAGUUCUUAUAUUGUUAAAUAUAUUUUAAGUUGAAGUUAGUAUGAUUUGCAUCCCUUCCUUUACUUUUAGUUGUUUCCUCACUUUCUAAUUUGUUGGUUGCUAUUGCAUGGAAUUGUGACUACAUUAUUUAACUGAAUCUAUUGAUGUUUCACUAUAACUUCUCUUGUUUUCAAGUGUAGUUGGUUGUAGUAACUAGUAAUCUGGUGGUCAGUUGUAGAUUGCUUUUGAGUUUUGACCCAUUAAAUGGUGUUUUCAUCUUUCUGGUAUUAUUGUCCUGCUGUGUUAGGUUUCCUUCUUUUAAAGAUUGUUCCCUUUCCUGGACAGAGUUUGGGGUCUGUUUGAUGCUCUUAAUGGUAUUUAUGAAUAUUUUUAUCAUUUGCAUCCUGGAAACGAAUGGCUAUAAGUUGAAAAAUCAAAUUGUUUUGAUUGUGAAGAAUAGAGUUAACUAAAAUAUUCCUGCGAAGUAUUUGUAAAUUCCAUUAUUCCAUGAUAAAUUGGAUGAAGGUAGUGUUGACCAUAGUUAGUUAAUUUGGAUUCGGCAAAAAUUCGGUACUGAUAUAAUACGCAUAAAAUUCGUUUUCUAAUUUUUAAAUUCGUUGAAAAAUUCGGCUUAAAAAAUGGAUUCGGUAUAAAAUAUAAAAUAUAAGAUAUAAAAUAUAAAAUAAUUUAUAUUUAAAAAUAAAAUUAUAAGUUUUUUAUUCAUAUUUUCAAUAAUUCGCGAAUUAUUCGCGAAUUAUUCGCGAAUAAUUUUCUUUCUUUCGAAAAAAUUCGUAAACGGACCGUUUAAUUCGGAUUUUCAAUAAUUCGUGAAUAAUUCGCGAAUAAUUCGCGAAUUUACUAACUAGGGUGUUGACAACAAAGAUUAAUAUAUAUAUAUUUUUUGUUAGCUUAUUCCUAAACACUGUAUUUAUCCAUUUAUGUAGUGUCUUUUUUUUUUUGAAUGGUGUAUCACAUAGUUUUUUUGGAGAAAAAAAAUUGUUUGGAGAAAAAGAAAUCAUCUUCUUCAGAUGACAGAUUUACGUAUUACAUAGUUUUAGGUUGCAUGAGUAUCUAACUGCAAGCAGUUUUUGAGAUUGGACCAAAGUUAAAUUGAAGGUUAGGUUCAGUCAUUUAAUGGUUAUUUUUAGUGAGGAUCAGAAGACGUUAGUCAUCACAUUUAUAUGUGAUCAAUUGAUGGUUUUAAGCUUUAGACAGGACAUUUAGGUAGAUCACUAAACUUUUGCCUGCAAGUGGAGGAGCUCUUCUGCAUACUAAGGAGCACAUAUGACAAGCUAAUGAACAGCUCCAUUUAUAGGCGAAAAGGACAUAUAUGUAUUGACAAAUCGCAUGGUCUUACAAUAAAUUCUGCAAAUUUCACACUAGAACAUGCUUCCAGAAUGUGCAGGCUGUAAAUAUUUUGUUUGGAUACAAGGAUGGUAGUCAUAUUGUUUUUCUGUAAUUUUGAAGUCAUGGUGAUGGUGUGCUACUGCUCUUUAUAUAUAUAUAUAUAUAUAUAGAACAUAUUGCUUUGUUGCUGUAGCGUUUUUUCUUUUCUUUUUCUCUUUUGUUCUAUAUGACAGUUAACAGAACUUGCAUUUGGAAACUGAUCAUUUUUAUCUUCUUAUGAUGGAAUUGAAUAACUCAUGGUUAUCUUCAUCUGCUAUUGUUUAUCUGGCCUAUUUUUGCAUGCUUUCAUAUAAGAUUUAAUAGGUUAUAUCGUCAUUCAUGAGUUGGAAUAUCAGUAUACAUCUGGUCCAUAAGCAGCUAUAUGUUUCGUAACAUAUAAUGUUUGCUUUCAGAUAAGAAUUAAUAGGUUGUCUCUCCAUUCAUGACUUGGAAUAAAGCAUUGUACAUGUAACAUAUACUGUUUGCUUUCCUACAUGGUUGUUCCCUUUGUUUUUUAUUAUUGACUUUAUUGGUUCUUUGUAAAUUUGUUUCAGGGCAUUUGCGCUCCUGAGACAAAAGCUAUGUUUUACGUAGCAAACACCAUACAUGAGUUCUCUUUGUCCGUAUAUGCAUUUGCCCCCAAUCUAUAAUACUUAAUGACUCAUUUCUUACCAGAUUGAAUCUCAUCUGAGUUCACGAAAGAAUGAAAUGGAGGAUCAUGCAUCCAGAUGUGCAGCCGAAGCUGAAAGAAUGAAAGAGGAGAUAUCAAAAAAGGAAAAUCAGCUGAACAUUGUCGAGAAAGAAGCAGAAGUAUUUUUGAAGGUACUUUUCCUUAUUCCUUUGGUUCCUAAUCAUUUACCGGCAAUAACAUUGCAGGUAAGUUUUAGGCAUGACACAAUAGAAAACUAACAAAUGCAACAAUACAGAGCUCUGAACAAAAGCUACAAGAUGCUGUAAGGGAAAGCGACGAAGAGACGCAGCUGUGUGCUCGUGAGCUACUAGCAUUGAUCGAUGCUGUGUCAGAGUAUAAAGAAUUCAUGGAGUCUACACUUUCUGGAAUAAAGUCGGAUUUAUCUGAAGUCGCCAAUGAUGUUGCUUCUUUGUCAUCUAAAUUGGUUUCGUGUGGAUCUAACUUGGGCUCUUCUGGACUAAAAUCAGUGUGCUAGCCUUUUUCCAAAUCGAAAGUCUUAUUUCCUUGCCCUGCAAACUUAGGUAACCUGUCUACUGUUGUGUGAAGCGCCUUGUAUCAGUUUGUCUCUCGUACAAAGCUAUGAAAUUUAAAAUAUUACUCGUCUCUUAGCCAAUUAGUUAUGGCAUCACCUGAGGAGACGUAAUAUUAACCGUGAAAGUUCAUUGAACUUUGUUAAGUUUAUUAUGAAAACAAAGAUUAUAUUCAAUGUAUCUGCCUGUUAAUAGUAACUAUAUUAUAUUACUAUCAAUGCCCUUGCAUAUUAGCGGUGGGGUAGUGAAUUACAGAACCGUCAUCCUUAGUUGCUUUCUGUUUUUGGCAAUGCCCUUUUAAGUUAUUUACCUCUCAUUUUCGGAGAUGUGGUGAAAUGUAGUAACCUCAUUGCAUUUUUCCAUGUUGUUCUAAUAAUGUUUGUACAGAUUGAGUUACUGAAGUGAGUUAAAAAAUUGGUUAACCAAAAUAAUUGCGUGUUUCGUUCGCACUAUCUUUUCAAGAUUCUUAGUAAUCUAAUAGAAAUAAAAAAAAUAUGACGGUAUUUAGUUUAACGGACAAAGUAAUAUAAUUGGUAAUACUAGAUUUACUUGGGAAUGAGAUGCAUCCUAAAGUAUUAAUCUCAUUCCUUUGAGGGAGGUUGUUUAUCCUUAUAUUAAUAGAUUGGAUUAAUUAUAAUAUGUUUAAUAUUUUUCUUUCUCUCUACCCUCCGGAUAGUUAGUAUUAUUUUCUUUACACUCUAAUCUCGUAUUUUUUUCUAAAUUUUAACUCUUUUUCUCUUUCUAAAUUAAGCUAUUUGUCCCCCUCUUUUUCUAAAAUUUUAAUCCUCUCAUUCUCUCUAACCUCGACUCUGUUUCUCUUUCUAUUUCUUUAAUUAUGCUCUUUCUUUCUAACCUAUAUUCUCUCUCUUUUUUUUUCUAAAAAAAUGUUAAAAUUUUUUAUAAUAUUAUUUAAAAUUAAUUAAAUAAAUAAAUUAAUUAACUGUAUAUUUUUUGUAAUUUUUAAUAACAUGAUUAAAUAAUAUAACCGUACGAACCAAACACCGAAAUAUUAUAUUCUUAGUAAUAGGAUGAACAAGAAUAAAAUUCUCGGAUAUCUUUUUACUCCUAGUAAUUUUUUAUAGUGCGAACCAAACGAGCCCUUAAUGUUAUUUACAUUAAACGUGUUUUACUAAAACAAUAUAUAUACAAAAAUGUAGAAAAUAAAGUGCUGAUUAAAAGUAUAUGAAACAAUUGAAAUAUUUUGGUAUAGUACAGGGACUAUUCUAUAUUAAAGCUGUCAAGUCAAGGCAUAUUGAUCAGCUUAUUAAAUAGGGUAAACUUCACAUACGACUAUUGUGAUUUUGUAUUUUUUCAUUUUAAUAUCCUAUAAUUUAAAGUGUAUCACUUUACUAUUCUUUGGUUUCGUUUUUUUUAUUUUCUUUAACACAUUUGUUAACUUUUCGUUAAAUUAUGUAUAAAAAAAUUUAGAUACCCUACUUAUGAUUUAUUAAAUAUUCACUUUAGUACCUUAUGUUUUACUGAACUUUUUACUUUAGUAUUAUAUGGUUUAUAUUUUAUAAUUGAUAUAACGAAAAAAUUAACGAAGGUGAUAAUAAAAAAGAGAAUAAUGAAAACAAAAGAUACUAAAAUGAUACAUUUUAAAAUAUAGGGUACUAAAGUGGAAAGUGAUUUGAAGUUUUCUCUAUUAAAUAUGUGCAUAAAUCUUCUAUGCAUGAACUCAUCACAGCCGUCAGAUCGAGAGUAUCUUUAACCUCGGAAUCUGUUAACGGCCGAUGUAACCCUCCGCAUAAGAUCGCAUCCUAUGCGGACCGGUAGCCCUGUACGUCGCCCUUCGUGCUCCGAGAAACGCGCCGUUCCCCUCGCACCACCCAAUCACACUGAUCAUCAUGAACCCAUGAUUGUGAUCCUCCCCCACGCGGGGCCCACCGCCCAUGAAUUAAUGCAGGAUCGACACGUGGCAAGAAGUCAGGCAUCUGGCGCCCUCCACGUGGGUCUGUCGUCCCCUGCGCGCGUCCUUGCCACGUGGCGCUCCGCGGGGCCCACCGGUUGGGGGUCCGUACGACGUGGCAUUUAAUUCGGGCACGUGGGCGUGCCCCUGCGGGUGUAAGAUGGGGACCGCAUCUGGGCCGUCGAUCAGGGAUUCGCGACUUCCGAGGCGCGUGAUGGGUGGUUGACUCGGGCCCAGGGAAACUUCGAAGCGUCUACGUCGGAGAUUUAAUGCGCCUCGUUUUCUCGUUAUGCGGGACCGUCCCAUUUCGCCGAGCCGCGGAUAUCUCCGGGGAACGAUCGGCACCGUUGGUAUCUGGAAUUGGACGGAUGAGAUCGAACGUUCGCAUAGGGAAGGAGUGUUCCUCCACGCGCGCGUCCGCACCCUGAAAUGGUGCGGGGACGGCAACGCUAUAGUGAGGCUGGGAACUGGGCCCCACAUGUCAGGAACACGGCCAUUAUGUAAUAGGAAAUGGACUUUUUAAUAGAGAGGCCUUAAAAGUGAUCUAAAAAGAAUAGAUAUAUAGAAUUAGGCUGGAAUACUAUUAAUAGUAAAACGCUUUUUUUGCUAUCAAAUUUUUAACCCUUGGAUGAAAAAUUGUAAGGUCAGGAUGAUAUUAGUCGGUUAGAGUUGAGUGGUCCCCCUAGGGUUGAGUGGUCCCCACUGGGUUAUAGUAUUUAAACCAAUGGUUAGAAAUAAUGCAAAGAGUUGAUCCAAAGGCUAAAAAACUGGUAGCAACAAUGGAAUUUUGCUACUAAUAGUAGCCCAGUCCAACUCUAGAUAUAUAUAUAUAUAUAUNAUAUAUAUAUAUAUAUAUAAAGUUGAGCUUCUGUAUUUUUAAAAGCACAUGAAUAUUUAUUUUUAUGGCUUUUUAAUCGUCAGAUUGUUUCAAGAUUUGCACAGCAUUAGUACUGCACGAAUCUUGAAGCUAUCUGAUGGCUAAAAAACACAAGCACGUUGAGCAAAUGAUUGCAGUAAAUUUAAUAGAUCUAAUAUUUGCGCGAUAAAAUUAUCUCUGCAUAAAUGUUAAUAAGACGACUAAAAAGCAUAAUAAUAUUUUUAUCAAUUUGGUUCAUGCAAGAAAUUUACUCACAAACAAAAUAAAAGAAAUGUUCGAUACAUGACCCUAAAUAUAUAAGCAAGGUCCAAAAAAAAAAAAAAAAAAAAAAAAAUCUAAGGUCCGAUUGAAGAUCACUCUGCACUAACAAUAGGAGGAUAUAGGCUUUUUUAUCAAACUUUUUUAUAUUUUGUUUCUAUACCAUUGGUAAAAACCAAAUCAACCUUUUCAAGCCUAAACAUAUAAAACCAAUUGAUUCCACUUGACUUAUAUUCGCUCGGGCGAAUUCAGAGUGAAUUCAACAUAAAAACAGAUGAUUUAGUCUCGUUGUAGUGCGCAAUUUAGUGGUUUAACUCAGGUACGUACUUAUCUAAAACACCAUUGUUGAGUGAAUAUUUUUAUUCGAGGAGCGCUUCAUAGAGAGAUGAUCUGAUCCUGUUCAUCAAAUAUUUAUUAUAGUAAAGUAAUAUAUUAUAGUAAUGAAUAGUUAAUUAGACGUGUUGUUUCAGAAAUCAUAUUACUCGUGUGUAUGGCACGUGCGGAGGGGAAAAAGAAAUCCUAAUUAUAAGGUAAUGAUGAGAUCAGAAUUGGAGAUUGGCACGUGUGUCGGGUUAUGGGGAAAGAGCGUGUGCUAAGAUGUUACAGCUGUAGAGGUUGACCGCAACAUCUGGUAAUUGAGAGCAUAAUUUUAUUUCACUACACAAACUUUAAAGUACAAAAUAUAAAUAAAAAAAAAGUUAAUUUCAUACGGAUCUCUCCAAACACAAUAAAUUACAAAUAUAUUCCUAUAAAAUUUAAUUUUCAUAUAUUAUUUCUAUAAAAAUUUUAAUAUUUUCAAAUAUGUUAAUCUGAUUUGUUACCGUUAAAGCACUAUUUAUUUUAUAAGUGAAAUAAUUUUUUUACCAUCACAAAUAUAUCCCUCCAAAACUUUCAACUGUUAAUUAAAGAGGGGUAAAAAGAUUAACUCACCUUAUUAGCUAACUAGGGUUAAAUAUUUUACCCAUGAUUAACUAAUUUUUUCUAACGGAUCUUAACAUUAGAAAUAUAUUUAAAAAUAUCAGAACUUUUAAAAGGACAACAUGCGAAGGUUAAAUUUUAUAAAAAGAUAUUUACAGCUCACUAUGUUUGAAAGAAUCUGUAUGAAAUUAAUCCAAAAAAACCCCUCCUUCCCUCUUAUAUGAAAUUAACCCAAAAAAAAAACUCUCAUAACCUCUUAUAGCCAUAUAGGCCUUAAAAAGUAUUAAAAAAAAAACUAAACUAAAUAUCCAUUUGAAAGUUAAAGAGAAAGGGCACGUGUCCUGUUGAAAAGCCUCUCAUUUUCAACUUUCAAAAAAUAAGGAGAAAAUGAAGGGAGAAAGGAAAUAUUUUGUUACAACUUGUUAUAUACAUUAGUACGAUAGCUUUUGUUUCUUUUUGUCUAAUAUAAUUAUUAUUCUAUUCGGAAACAGAAUUUUUAUUUUUAUAAAUUAUUCCAUUAAAAUACUUUACGCUAUAAGUGUUUGGUUCCUUAAACAUGUGUGAAAAAUUAAUUAUUCUUCCAGGAAAAAAAAAUUCAUUAAAAAAAAAAACUCUUUUCCACUGUUUUUGUUUUUUUGGAUAAAAAAUUAAGAAAACGAAAACACUAAUUUUUCAUAAAAUUAGAAAAAUAUUUUUUCCAAAAAAAAUUAUUUUUUAAAAUUUAAACAGGCAAAAUAACUGUUUCAACCAGAAAACUAUUUUUGACAUAUUUUUCAGAAAUCAAACACUCGAUAAAUAAAGUAGUGUAAAAAAUAGGUUAAAAUGUGCAUACGCCUCAUAAACUUUCACCCAUUUUGAAAUUGACCCCUAAACUUUUUCUUAUUUGAUUUACACUCCCUGAUAUAAGCAUCUUCUCUACUUUCUAAUUGUUUGAUUUAGCUCUUUUCAUUAGCAAUUUUGGACAUUUCGUUAAAACAAAAUAAGCGACAAGGAGAAAUCCAUGUGAUCAAGAAUUGUUUUUAUAAAUAAAGAGGUUAUGUGUGUCUCUUAUGUGCAUUUGAUCCCAACAAGUUCCUCUAAAUUAUUUAUAAAAGGAGCUAAAUUAAACGAUCAAUAAGUAGAAGGAGUGUAAAUCAAAUAAAAAAGGUUAAGAGGAUCAAUUUCAAAACUGAGUUAAAGUUCAGCAAGUGUCUAUACAUCUUCACCAAAAAGAUAUGGAGUAAAACUUCAGCGGGAGCUCCCCAACGACUCCCACCGUCAUGUGUUAGUUCUUUUAAUACUAAAAUUCAAAAAAAAAAAAGUUGAAGUUUUAAUUUCUAAAGAAAAGAAUUAUAGCCGUUGGAUAGAGAUAAAAGUGGCACCCGAUGAAGGAUUGAGGCUCAUUAACGAGACUUCGUAUGAUGUAUAGUACAUUACCAAAUAGGCAAGGUUCCAAUAUGGAUUGUUAAUCAAUAUUUUUUUCAUAGUGCUUGACUGAAUUGGAGAUGUUUGGGCACGAAAUGGACGCGAAAACGAACUCAGAUUUAACGCGGGGCAUGACACUUUGUUCGAGAGCUCUCCACUGAAAGUUAUUUUCAAAAAUAUAAGUGGGAAUUAAUAACCUUUCUCCGGAGGAAAAAAAACAGAAAGAUGCAAUAAAUGGGUUUUUGGGCAGUUCGUGCCAAAUGGGCAUGCGUUCAUAGAUCGCAAUUACUUAGCCCUGUCCCCCCACCCCCACCCCCACCCCCACCCUCCUCUCUUNGAAAAUGUGUCUCUCUCUCUCUCUCUCUCUCUAGAUCUCUCUCUCUCUCUCUCUACCCCACCCCCUUACUCUUCCCCCUCCUCUCUAAUUGCUUUCUCUCUCUCUCUCUAGAUACAUUGCUAUGUGGAAGGAAAUUAAGGAUACGGGUUGUGGGGAAUGUUGGCUGGCUCGAGGAGCAAUUUUAGCUCUCUCCCGUCUGCACUGCUUCUGGAGAAGCGAAAAGCGCUUUUUCGGACCAGGCUUCAUUCCUCUCAAACCUCUCUUUCCUCUUCGCGAUGACGCUCGGAAAACUAAUUUGUUGAUAUUCUGUUAAGCGGACUGUUGUCUGGCUCAAGAUUAACUUCCCAUGAGCUCUUUCCUUUUUUUUAUUUUUAUUUUUUUAAUUCUUUCGUUCGUUUUGCGGUUUUGAGUUUUUUUUCUUUUUGGUAUUUUAUAUGUUAGUUAUGAGGCUCGCGAGGUCAUGAUCUCGUACAAGGCUUCGAUCCCUUACACCAGCAUUUGCUUUCACGGCCUUCGGAAAUAAUGGUGCAAAUGAUAAACAAUGGUAAGUUUUUCUUUUUCUUUUUUUCCGGAUUUUUUUUUUCUUUUCUUGUAGCUUAUAUAGUGGGGAGAUGCUAAGUAUCUACGCUUUGCAUCUCGACGGGUUCGAACUUAUUCUGCUCUUAUUAACUAAAUUUCUCGCUUUGCUAAAAAAAACACACAAGAAUCAAAUUACGCAUGACGCUUAAUCUUUUUCCGUUCAUGUACUUGGCAAACAUUUCAUUUCCUAUACCAAUCUAUUAGGCCUUUAAUUCUUUCUCUCAUGUGAUCUACACUGUUACCGACCUUACCUAGCAGUACAGUUUGCUAAUUAAGGCUUAAUGGUUGGUACCUGAUGUCGAAAAUUUUAACUCUAAUUGUUUCAUCUUUCUAACCGAGUACUUCAUUUCUAAAAAAGAAAUCCACUUUGGUGACUUACCACUCGAAUACUGAUGGUUUCGCUAAUUAAGCUUGAAUUUAGCGUUACGGCCUUUUCACAAAACAACGAGAAAAAGUUACCCUAACCUUAAUGGCUUCUAAAAUUGGUCACCUUUUCUCCCCAUUGUAUCCCAACAUGUGUUUACCCUUUCCUACGCCUAACACUUGAUUAUGUAAUCAUUUGCGUGAGCCCAUGAUUAUACACACACACACACAUAUAUAAAUAUAUAUAUAUAAAUAAUAACUUGCUAUGUUUAAUUCCUGGGGACGUACGCGUGUGUAGCAAAAGAAAGGGAAAACGUAGAUGUGUAGGAAUAAAUAAGGCUUUGGAUAUGUAUAUAUCCCUAUACUAUACUUUGGGGAGGAGAAAAAGUGGGUGCAUGGGCUCUAAUUAAUGAAUGCGCCUCUGACGCAGCAGCGUUCAUGUGUUGUGGGAGGCGAAGUGAAUGAAGAGAUGAAGAUGCCAUAGAUAGAUUUUAACGAGAAAGGGAGCGCGUUUCUCGCCUCCCAGGAUUUUUAGUCACCUCGAUUGCUUCAUCUCCUUGUCCACUAGUUCAUUAAGUUCCAUGUAUUCACAUAUAAUUUUUUCAAAAAAAAAAAAAGUUGUGACACUGUGUGUGCGUUAUUGUAGAGAGAGAGAGAGAGAGAGAGAGAGAGAGAGAGGUGGUAAAUAUGUGGACGUGGAGAGAGAAAGCUAGGUCCACGCAUUGAGAAUUAUUGCAUGCACCAGGUCUACACACAGGUGCCUGCAAAUUAAGCUCAAAUAUAUUUCUGGUUGCGGGUCCUGCAAAAUUGAUCUUUCUAGAUAAUUUAUAUCACCUCACAUUAUAAUUUCAAGUGUCUUUAAUAAAAUCCAUCGUGCGUAGUGCUAAAUGUAUUUUUGACCUUUUUUGGACAAUGAGUUAAAAAUCAGGGCGAACUGACCGGUUCGAUUGGUCCGACCGUAACCCAGUUUAUGAAGCGGUUCGGCUUGAAUUAACCUAUGAACGGGAUAAGUACUCAAAAAAUUGUUUUGAAAUGUUCGAACCGAUGGUUCAACCAUCGAAAUGGAGAAUCGGUCCGAUUGUAAUCAAACUGGCUGAGUUUUUUUUAUCAAGUCAUAUUAAAAUCUAUAUUCUAUUAGCACAUAUUAGUCUUACAAAAGAGUAAAACUUGAAAAUAAUAUAUGUAUAUGUUGCUAUAUAAUAAUUAUAUGUCAUGCUGAUGCCGGUUGAACCGAUGACUCUUGACCCAAUAAUUUUACUUACCUGUAAAUUAUUAAAUAUAAUAUAGAGUAUUUAUAAAAUGCAUAUAUAUUAGAAGUCCCAAGUUAUAUAUAUACAUAAUUAGGCUACUAUAGUACCGGAGCUCCGUUACUAUAGUCUUGUUUUCGAUCUUAAGGUGUUCAAAUUAAGGAUCCACACCAUUAAAUAUGAUUUAAGAUAUAUGAAGUUCUUAGGAAUAAAAUUUUAGUUUUUUUCGAUAUCGUUUACUUAGUAAAUAAAUUAUGUCAAAAUGGACGAUGAAAAUUGAAUAUUCUUUAAAAUUUGAGCAUAGGACUUUUAAAUUCAAGAUCAAGAAUGUUAACCUUAAUCUAGAUAGUUUAAAAUAUUUUCUAUCAAAAUUUGAAGAAAUUGAGAUUCUUCUAUACCGUUAAACUCCAAACUCACCAUAGUAGCCAUUGAAAAUUGACAAUUUUGAAAUGGUUUGAUCAUAAAGCAAAUUAUGUCGAAAAAAUAUAAAAUUUUAUUUCUAAAAACUUUAAAUACCCUAAAUCAGUUUUAAUGGUAUGGAUCGUUGAUUUGAACACCCUAAGAUCGAAAAAGAGAAUAUAGUACCGAAGCCCCGGUACUAUAGAUAUAGUAUAGGAGACUGGCUCUAUAUAUAUAUAUAUAUAUAUAUAUAUAUAUAUAUAUAUAUAUAUAUAUAUAUAUAGCGGCUAGGAUGCUUAUGAAAGCACGGAAGGCUCCGUGCUUCCACUUUGUUUUCGAUGUUCGGACUUUCGAAUCGACGAUCGACACCGUUAAACUUGAUCUAGAGUAUUUGAAGUAUCUAGAAAAUAAAUUUUGCAAUUUUUCGAUAUCAUUUGCCUAGUGAUCGAAGUGGCUCAAAAUCAANAUAGAUCUUAUUUUAUAUAGUAUAAAGAAUUUUCUAUCAAAAUUUCACGUGAUUUGGAUAUUUCUACACCGUUAAACUUGCAACCGGCUCACCACGGUCAUUAAAAUUAUUGAUUUUGAGCCCCUUCAAUCACUAGGCAAAUGAUAUCGAAAAAUCGUAAAAUUUAUUUUCUAGGUACUUCAAAUACUCUAGAUCAACUCUAACGGAGCCGAUCGUCGAUUCGAAAGUCCGAACAUCGAAAAUACCUUGGAAGCACGAAGGCCUCCGUGCUUGCAUAAGCAUACGAGACAAACUCUCUCUCUCUCUCUCUCUCUCUCUCUCUCUCUCUCUUUAUAUAUAUAUAUAUAUAUAUAUAUAUAUAUAUAUAUAUAUAUAUAUAUCAUGCUAUCCGUUCCGUUCAUUUUUUUAGAAAUGAACUUUAGCUAGAUAUGUGAAGCAAUUAGGUUUCAAAUUUGGAAUUUCGAAUAUCAAUUAUUAAACUUUUUGUCACUUGUGUUAGGAAAACGAUCGGUUAUGUGUAUAAUAUUUUAUUUACCAAAAUAGUAGCUUUUAAACUAUCUCUCACUGCAAGAUGUUUCUCUGUCAAGAUUCCAAAAUUUAAGUUCCACAUACAUAUCACGUACAAGUUGUACAUUUAGAGAUAUCAUAUUCAGCAAUUUAGAUUUAGAUUUUAAUUCUCCUAAACUUGAACUUUAGAGAUUCCCGGUGCAUGCAAUAAUUAAUUUCUAGGUAGGCAGGGACAUGAAACAGUGGGAAGCAUUAAAGAGGGGUUUUAAUAAGGUGAAUGCCAUAUGGAAUCUCUCUUCUUUUUCUUCUUUUUUUGUUUUUUUUUUUCCCUCUCAUUACUAUUUGAAUGGCUCAUGUGGCAGAGGUGGCAUCUUAGGAGGCUCAGGUUACCUGGUGAAUCGCAUCAUGCCCUUCUUUUACAUAUUUCUUUUCGAGCAAUGUUAUGACCAAUACUCUUUUUUUUUUUUGACUAUUUUUAUUCUUUUUUAGUAUUAAUUUUUUUUAAAAAAAUUGUUAUAUUUUCAAUGAGUGAGCGUAAAAUUUAUAUCCUAUUUUUUGAAUGUACAAGUCAUAUUAAUUCUUUUUUAUUUUUUUAAUAUAUAUUUCAAACUUAGAAACUUCAUUCCUAAAUUAAAUAAAACUAUAGAGAGAGAGAGAGAGAGAGAGAGAGAGCACAUAGUUUCUAGUGAUCAUUCAAAUCAUACAAGCCCACAUGUUUCAAGGAGCCAAAAUUUAAUACUACAUGUGCAUAGGUACUGGGUUGUAUGAGCUACCUAUGCUGCGUGUCUUGUACUUGUGCAUUGAGAUCGAUUCAAUCUACACCAGACCACUUUUGAGACAUCACAAUUACUACUAUACAUAGGCAGUAGGCGUUUUUACAUGAUGCAAUAUAUUUCAUUCCUCUUGCUAAUAAGUGUUAGCAUUUUUCAUAAAUAAACUCAACUAAAAACAUAAACUACUUAAAUAAUUAAAUUUCAAACUUAAAAUUUUAAAUAUUAAUCAUCAAACUUUUAGCCAGUUACACUUCAUUCUCAAUAAUAAAGAGAUGGAUCUAAAUAAGUUGAGGAGAGACAAUAAAUGAGAUGG